CGAGGGCGAGGUGGAGCUGGAGGUCCCCGAUGACGUCUACAUCCUCGACCAGGCCGAGGAGGAGGGGAUCGACCUGCCCUACUCCUGCCGCGCCGGCUCCUGCUCCUCCUGCGCCGGCAAGUUGGUGUCCGGCGAGAUCGACCAGUCCGACCAGAGCUUCCUCGACGACGACCAGAUGGAGGCAGGGUGGGUGCUCACCUGCCACGCCUACCCCAAGUCCGACAUCGUCAUCGAGACCCACAAGGAGGAGGAGCUCACCGCAUAAGCUGCUUUACCUAUCUCUCUUUGCAAGAUAAUAUCACGGACCCUGAGACCUGUGUAAACCCUGAGAGCUGAUUUCAUGCAUGCACGGACAUUGCCAGAUACACCGAAUUGUUUGUGCUCGAAUGAAUUGCUCGAUGCAUGGUUUGCUCAAGUAAUAAUGUCUUCGAAUUACUACCUUUUUGUACCGUAAGAUAUACUACUGCCGUAAUACUAGCGUGUACCUUGUACGUAACUCGACGUACUGAAAUGAAUCCUGAUGGCUGAGGCGUCUCUCUGAUUAAUAAUAUCUUCUCUUUAAUUAAGAGACUGCUGAAUUACUUGAUGAACAUCUUACCUGGGACUUUCUUCUAUAUCCAGAUAAUAGGUGCAUGCUACGACUUGUUUCAAUAUGAGUUACACAAUUUCCUCAUUAUUUUGUUUACCCACAAGGAGACCUCUUUUCCGCACUCAUUUUUGUCCUCACUACUGAUUUGCUCCAAUCCAUUUUCAAUGAAGCUUUGGACAACAAUUUGAUAGGUUUGCCCAUUAUCACUAAGAAUAACAGAGAUUUCCUUAUAAUCCAGUAUGCAGAUGACACCAUUAUUAUCUUGCAUGCAUGUCCCUUGCAAAUUCAACAAGUUCAGAACAUAUUGAUGCAUUUUCGGGUUUACACAGGUCUCAGGGUCAACUACAACAAAUCCAUGAUGGUUCCCAUGAAUGUACCUGCUCAUAACAUCAAGCAACUCUCAGCUAUUUUAGGUUGUGCCCACAGUAGUUUUCCCUUUACUUACCUUGGACUUCCUCUUGGCAUUUCUAAACCCAAGGUUGAAGAUUUUGAAAAGGAUUGGAUCUAGACUUGCUGGUUGCUCCACAAUGCUUUCCUAGGGAGAGAAACUCAUUCUUGUGAAAUCUGCUUUCACUAGCCUACCUACUUCCUUCAUGAGCAGUUUAGACCUCCCCAUAGGAGUUGUUGGCCAUAUUAAUAAAUACUUGAGACAUUGCUUUUGGAGGAAAUAUGGGAUGGACGACAGACGUACUUCUCUUAUAUUCUUGGGAUAAAAUUUGCCUUGCUAAGGAAGCUGGUGGACUUGGAGUUCUUGAUGUGCAAACUCAGAACAAAGCUUUGUUGAUGAAAGAUCUGCAUAAUUUUUUCAAUAGUUCUGACCUCCCUUGGGUGGACCUUAUGUGGAGCUCCUACUAUACUUCUACCCCCUCCUCAUGUCACACCUGUUGGUUCCUUCUGGUGGAAGUUUAUUCUCAAAUUAAUCCCUGAUUUUAAAGCCAUCUCUUCCUGCAGCAUGGGGCAAGGGAACUAUGUUCUUCUGUUAUUUGAUAAUUGGGAUGGUAACAGAUUCAUUGAUAGAUUCCCUGAGCUUCAUUCUUUUGUUGUGAAUGACCAAUUCUCAAUUGAGCAAGCAUUGCACAUCAACCCUCCAGAGGAUCUAUUCCAUAGGCCACUCUCCACCCAAACUUUCCAGCAGUUCCAGGGUUCCCAAAACUUUAUGAAUAAUAUUCAGUUUUCUGGCUCCAAAGACAAAUGGUCUUACAUCUGGGGAUCUUCUCAGUCCUCUAUUGCAAAGGUUUACAAAACCUUGAGGGUUAAACCACCUACACCACCUCUCUUCAACCUGUUAUGGAAGAGCUCAGUAAUCCUUUGAUAUAAGAUUUUCUUCUGGUUUCUCCUUCAUGAUAGACUGAAUUCAAGAGAGCUUCUACAAAGAAAAUCCUUGUGGCUACCCAAUUAUGAUUGUGGAAUGUGUGACACUAAAUCCUUGGAAACUGCUUUUCACUUGUUUUGGAACUGCCCUUUUUCUAUUCAAUGUUGGGAGACCUCGAUUCCGCAGAUAUUGAGGAACAACUCAGUUUACACAUAUAUCCAACUAGCGGUGCCCCCCCCCCUCCUGAUUUGGCCCUGGACAUCAUAAUUAUGGCUUCAUGGAAUAUAUGGAUUCAAAGAAACAAUGCAAUGUUCAAAAAUACCACACACAGUGUGGCCUCCUGGAAAAUAUUGCUUAGAAGAGAUCUCCAAAUUCUGGCUCACAGAAGACAACAAAGUAGCAAGACUGCAAGCCUGGAUUAAAGUUAACCUUUAAUUUCUCAUGUUGCCAAAAGGUGGGAUUGGUUGAGUUGUAUUUUCUUUUUUCUGUUUGUACAUACUUUUAUUAUUAAUGAAAAUUUAACCAUACAACUAUUGUUCUAUGAUCAGUGCCUAAAAAAUGUUUGAGGCUAGCAGAAUGUUUGUUUACAUGGUCCUCAUUUUUUUCUGAAAAGGGAUAAUAUGUUUGUAAGAUCGUGAAUGUCACCUAGAGGGGGGUGAAUAGGCGCUUUAAAAUAAUUACGGUUUAGGCUUGAACAAAUGUGGAAUAAAACUAGCGUUUAAUUUGUCAAGCACAAAACCUAAAACAACUAGGCUCACCUGUGUGCACUAACAACUUAUGCUAAGCAAGAUAAACAACUAAGUGAUAGAAAGAUAUAUAACAUGUCAUAUUAUGGCUAUCACAAAGUAAAGUGCAUAAGUAAAGGGCUUGGGUAAGAGAUAACUGAGGCACACGAAGACGAUGAUGUAUCCCGAAAUUCACACCCUUGCGGAUGCUAAUAUCCGUUUGGAGCGGUAUGGAGGCACAAUUGUUGGGGAACGUAGUAAUUUCAAAAAAAUUCCUACGCACACGCAAGAUCAUGGUGAUGCAUAGCAACGAGAGGGAAGAGUGUUGUCCAUGUACCCUCGUAGACCGAAAGCGGAAGCGUUAGAACAACGCGGUUGAUGUAGCCGUACGUCUUCACGGCCCGACCAAUCAAGCACCGAAACUACGGCACCUCCGAGUUCUAGCACACGUUCAGCUCGAUGACGUCCCUCGAACUCCGAUCCAGCCGAGUGUCAAGGGAGAGUUCCGUCAGCACGACAGCGUGGUGACGAUCUUGAUGUUCUACCGUCGCAGGGCUUCGCCUAAGCACCGCUACAAUAUUAUCGAUGAGGACUAUGGUGGAGGGGGGCACCGCACACGGCUAAGAGAUCAAGAGAUCAGUUGUUCUGUCUAUGGGGUGCCCCCCUCCCCGUAUAUAAAGGUGUGGAGGAGGGGGCCGACCAAGGGGGUGGCGCGCCCUAGGGGGGAGUCCAACUCCCACCGGGAGUAGGACUUCCCCCUUUCCUAUUAGGAGAGGGAGAGGGAAGGAAGAGGAAGGAGGGAGGAAGGAAAGGGGGGACCGGGCCCCCUCCCAAUUCGGAUUGGGCUUGGGGGGGCGCCCCCUCCCUUGCUCCUUUCCCCUCCUUUCCACUAAGGCCCAAUAAGGCCCAUAUACCUCCCGGGGGGGUCCGAUAACCUCCCGGAGCUCCGGUAUUGUCCCAAUCUCACCCGGAACCUUUCCGAUGUCCAAAUAUAGUCGUCCAGUAUAUCGAUCUUUAUGUCUCAACCAUUUCGAGACUCCUCGUCAUGUCCGUGAUACACAUCCGGGACUCCAAACAACCUUCGGUACAUCAAAACUCAUAAACUCAUAAUAUAACUGUCAUCGAAACCUUAAGCAUGCGGACCCUACAGGUUCGAGAACUAUGUAGACAUGACUGAGACACGUUUCCGGUCAAUAACCAAUAGAGGAACCUGGAUGUUCAUAUUGGCUCCUACAUAUUCUAUGAAGAUCUUUAUCGGUCAAACCGCAUAACAACAUACGUUGUUCCCUUUGUCAUCGGUAUGUUACUUGCCCGAGAUUCUAUCGUCUGUAUCUCAAUACCUAGUUCAAUCUCGUUACCGGCAAGUCUCUUUACUCGUUAUGUAAUGCAUCAUUCCGUAACUAACUCAUUAGUUACAUUGCUUGCAAGGCUUAUAGUGAUGUGCAUUACCGAGAGGGCCCAGAGAUACCUCUCCGACAAUCGGAGUGACAAAACCUAAUCUCGAAAUACGCCACUCAACAUGUACCUUUGGAGACACCUGUAGAGCUCUUUUAUAAUCACCCAGUUACGUUGUGACGUAUGGUAGCACACAAAGUGUUCCUCCGGUAAACGGGAGUUGCAUAAUCUCAUAGUUGUAGGAACAUGUAUAAGUCAUGAAGAAAGCAAUAGCAACAUACUAAACGAUCAAGUGCUAAGCUAACAGAAUGGGUCAAGCCAAUCACAUCAUUCUCGUAAUGAUGUGAUCCCGUUAAUCAAAUGACAACUCAUGUCUAUGGCUAGGAAACACAACCAUCUUUGAUUCAAUGAGCUAGUCAAGUAGAGGCAUACUAGUGACAUUAUGUUUGUCUAUGUAUUCACACAUGUAUCAAGUUUCCGGUUAAUACAAUUCUAGCAUGAAUAAUAAACAUUUAUCAUGAAAUAAGGAAAUAAAUAAUGACUUAAAUAUUGCCUCUAGGGCAUAUUUCCUUCAGUCUCCCACUUGCACUAGAGUCAAUAAUCUAGUUCACACCGCAAUGUGAUUUAACACUAAUAUUCACAUAUGUAUGUGAUUAAUACCCAUAGUUCACAUCGUCAUGUGAUCAACACCCAAAGGGUUUCUAGAGUCAAUAAUCUAGUUCACAUCCCUAUGUGAUUAACAACCAAAGAGUACUAAGGUAUGAUCAUGUUUUACUCAUGAGAGAAGUUUAGUCAACGGGUCUAUCACAUUCAGAGCCGUAUGUAUUUUGCAAAUAUUCUAUGUCUACAAUGCUCUGUACGAAGCUACUCUAGCUAAUUCCUCCCACUUUCAAUAUGUAUCCAGAUUGAGACUUAGAGUCAUCUGGAUUGGCGUAAAAGCUUGCAUCAUUGUAACCUUUUACGAUGAGCCCUUUUAUCACUUCCAUUAUCGAGAAAUAUUUCCUUAGUCCUCACUAAGGAUAUUCUUGACCGUUGUUCAGUGAUCUACUCUUAGAUCAAAAUUGUACUCCCUUGCCAAACUCAGAACAAAGUAUACAAUAGGUACAUAACAUAGCAUAAUUUAUAGAACCUAUGACUAAGGCAUAGGGAAUGACUUUUCAUUCUCUUUCUAUUUUUUGCCAUGGUCGGGUUUUGAGUCUUACUCAACUUUCACACCUUGCAAUACAGGCAAGAACUCCUUCUUUGACUGAUCCAUUUUGAACUACUUCAAAAACUUAUUAAGGUAUGCACUCAUUGAAAAAUCCUAUCAAGCGUCUUGAUCUAUCUCUAUAGAUCUUGAUGCUCAAUGUGUAAGCAGCUUCACUGAGGUGUUUCAUUGAGAAACUCUUAUUCAAGUAUCCUUUUAUGCUUUCCAAAAAAAUUCUACAUUAUUUCCGAUCAACAAUAUGUUAUUCACAUAUACUUAUCAGAAAUGUUGUAGUGCUCCCACUCACUUUCUUGUAAAUAGAGGCUUCACUGAAGUCCGUAUAAAACUAUAUGCUUUGAUCAACUUAUCAAAGCGUAUAUUCCAACUCCGAGAUGCUUGCACCAGUCCAUAGAUGGAUCGCUGGAGCUUGCACAUUUUGUUAGCACUUUUAGGAUUGACAAAACCUUCUGGUUGCAUCAUAUACAACUCUUCUUUAAGAAAACCAUUAAGGAAUGCAGUUUUGACAUCCAUUUGCCAGGUUUCAUAAAAUAUGGCAAUUGCUAACAUGAUUCGGACAGACUUAAGCAUCGCUACAGUUGAGAAAAUCUCAUUGUAGUUAACACCUUGAACUUGUCGAAAACCUUUUUGCGACAAGUCGAGCUUUGUAGAUAGUAACACUACUAUCAACGUCUAUCUUCCUCUUGAAGAUCCAUUUAUUUAUGGCUUGCCGAUCAUUGGGAAAGUCCACCAAAGUCCACACUUUGUUCUCAUACAUGGAUCCUAUCUCAGAUUUCAUGGCCUCCAGCCAUUUCGCGGAAUCUGGGCUCAUCAUCGCUUCCUCAUAGUUCGUAGGUUUAUCAUGGCCUAGUAACAUGACUUUCAGAACAGGAUUACCAUACCACUCUGGUGUGGACCGUACUCUGGAAGACCUACGAGGUUCUAUAGUAACUUGAUCUGAAGUUUCAUGAUCAUCAUCAUUAGCUUCCUCACUAAUUGGUGUAGGAAUCACUGGAACUGAUUUCAGUGAUGAACUGUUUUCCAAUUCGGGAGAAGGUACUAUUACCUUAUCAAGUUCUACUUUUCUCCCACUCACUUCUUUCGAGAGAAACUUCUUCUCUAGAAAGGGUCCAUUCUUGGCAACGAAUGUCUUGCCUUCGGAUCUGUGAUAGAAGGUGUACCCAACAGUUACUUUUGGGUAUUCUAUGAAGAUGCACUUCUCCGAUUUAGGUUUGAGCUUAUCAGGAUGAAACUUUUUCACCUAAGCAUCCCAACCUCAAACUUUAAGAAACGACAGCUUAGGUUUCUUGCUAAACCAUAGUUCAUAUGGUGUCGUCACAAUGGAUUUAGAUGGUGCCCUUUUAACGUGAAUGCAGCUAUCUCUAAUGCAUAACCCCAAAACGAUAGUGGUAAAUCAGUAAGAGACAUCAUAGAUUGCACCAUAUCCAAUAAAGUGCGGUUACGAUGUUCGGACACACCAUAAUGUUGUGGUGUUCCAGGUGGCAUGAACUGUGAAACUAUUCCACUUUUUUUUAAUUGAAGACCAAACUCAUAACUCAAAUAUUCAUCUCCACGAUCAGAUCGUAGAAACUUUAUUUUCUUGUUACGGUGAUUUUCCACUUCACUCUGAAAUUCUUUGAACCUUUCAACUAUUUCAGACUUAUGUUUCAUCAAGUAGAUAUACCCAUAUCUUCUCAAAUCAUCUGUGAAGGUCAGAAAAUAACGAUACCCGCCACGAGCCUUAAUACUCAUUGGUCUGCAUACAUCAGUAUGUAUUAUUUCCAACAAGUCAGUAGCUCGUUCCAUUGUUCUGGAGAACGGAGUUUUAGUCAUCUUGCCCAAAAGGCACGGUUCGCAAGCAUCAAAUGAUUCAUAACCAAGUGAUUCCGAAAAUCCAUCUUUAUGGAGUUUCUUCAUGCGCUUUACACCGAUAUGACCCAAACGAUAGUGCCACAAAUAAGUUGCACUAUCAUUAUUGACUUUGCAUCUUUUGGCAUCAAUAUUAUGAAUAUGUGUAUCACUACGAUCGAGAUCCAAUAAACUAUUUUCAUUGGGUGUAUGACCAUUGAAGGUUUUAUUCAUGUAAACAAAACAACAAUUAUUCUUUGACUUUAAAUGAAUAAUCGUAUUGCAAUAAACAUGAUCAAAUUAUAUUCAUGCUCAACGCAAAUGCUAAAUAACAUUUAUUUAGGUUUAACACUAAUCCCGAUAGUAUAGGGAGUGUGUGAUGAAUAUCAUAUCAAUCUUGGAACUACUUCCAACACUCAUCGUCACUUCCCCUCAACUAGUCUCAGUUUAUUAUGUAACUCCUGUUUCGAGUUACUAAUCUUAGCAACCCAACAAGUAUCAAAUACUCAGGGGCUACUAUAAACACUAGUAAGGCACACAUCAAUAACCUGUAUAUCAAAUAUGCCCUUGUUCACUUUGCCAUCCUUCUUAUCCACCAAAUAUUCAGGGCAUUUCCGCUUUCAGUGAUCAUUUACUUUGUAGUAGAAGCACUCAAAUUCAGGCUUUGGUCCAGCUUUAGGCUUCUUCACGGGAGUGACAACUUGCUUGUCAUUCUACUUGAAGUUCCCUUUCUUUCCCUUUGCCUUUUCUUGAAACUAGUGUUCUUGUCAAUCAUCAACACUUGAUGCUCUUUCUUGAUUUCUACCUUCGUCGAUUUCAACAUCACAAAGAGCUCGGGAAUUGUUUUCGUCAUCCCUUGCAUACUAUAGUUCUUCACGAAGUUCUAGCAACUUGGUGAUGGUGACUAGAGAACUUUGUCAAUCACUAUCUUAUCUAGAAGAUUAACUCCCACUUGAUUCAAGCGAUUGUAGUACCCAGACAAUCUGAGUACAUGCUCACUGCUUGAGCUAUUCUCCUCCAUCUUUUAGCUAUAGAACUUGUUGGAGACUUCAUAUCUCUUAACUCGGGUAUUUGCUUGAAAUAUUAACUUCAACUCUUGGAACAUCUCAUAUGUUCCAUGAUGUUCAAAACGUCUUUGAAGUCCCGAUUCUAAGCCGUUAAGCAUGGUGCACUAAACUAUUAAGUAGUCAUCAUAUUGAGCUAGCCGAACGUUCAUAAUGUCUGCAUCUGCUCCUGCAAUAGGUAUGUCACCUAGCGGUGCAUCAAGGACAUAACUCUUCUGUGCAGCAAUGAGGACAAUCCUCAUAUCACAGAUCCAAUCCGCAUCAUUGCUACUAACAUCUUUCAACACAGUUUUCUCUAGGAACAUAUCAAAAUAAACAUAGGGAAGCAACAACGCGAGCUAUUGAUCUACAACAUAAUUUGCAAAAUACUACCAGGACUAAGUUCAAGAUAAAUUUAAGUUCAAUUAAUCAUAUUACUAAAGAACUCCCACUUAGACAGACGUCUCUGUAGUCAUCUAAGUGAUCACGUGAUCCAAAUCAACUAAACCAUGUCCGAUCAUCACGUGAGAUGGAGUAGUUUUCAAUGGUGAACAUCACUAUGUUGAUCAUAUCUACUAUAUGAUUCACGUUCGACCUUUCGGUGUCCGUGUUCCGAGGCCAUAUCUGUAUAUGCUAGGCUCGUCAAGUUUAACCUAAGUAUUCUGCGUGUGCAACACUUUUGCACCCGUUGUAUUUGAACAUAGAGCCUAUCACACCCGAUCAUCACGUGGUGUCUCAGCAUGAAGAACUUUCACAAUGGUGCAUACUCAGGGAGAACACUUCUUGAUAAUUAGUGAGAGAUCAUCUUAUAAUGCUACCGUCAAUCAAAGCAAAAUAAGAUGCAUAAAGGAUAAACAUCACAUGCAAUCAAUAUAAGUGAUAUGAUAUGGCCAUCAUCAUCUUGUGCUUGUGAUCUCCAUCUCCGAAGCACCGUCGUGAUCACCAUCGUCACCGGCGCGACACCUUGAUCUCCAUCGUAGCAUCAUUGUCGUUUCGCCAUAUAUUGCUUCUAUGACUAUCGCUACCGCUUAGUGAUAAAGUAAAGCAAUUACAGGGCGCUUGCAUUUCAUACAAUAAAGCGACAAGCAUAUGGCUCCUGCCAGUUGCCGAUAACUCGGUUACAAAACAUGAUCAUCUCAUACAAUAAAAUAUAGCAUCAUGUCUUGACCAUAUCACAUCACAACAUGCCCUGAAAAAACAAGUUAGACGUCCUCUACUUUGUUGUUGCAAAUUUUACGUGGCUGCUACGGGCUGAGCAAGAACUGUUCUUACCUACGCAUCAAAACCACAACUAUAGUUUGUCAAGUUAGUGUUGUUUUAACCUACGCAAGGACCGGGCGUAGCCACACUCGGUUCAACUAAAGUUGGAGAAACUGACACCCGCCAGCCACCUGUGUGCAAAGCACGUCGAGAGAACCAGUCUCGCGUAAGUGUACGCGUAAUGUCGCUCCGGGCCACUUCAUCCAACAAUACCGCCGAACCAAAGUAUGACAUGCUGGUAAGCAGUAUGACUUGUAUCGCCCACAACUCACUUGUGUUCUACUCGUGCAUAUAACAUCUACGCAUAAAACCAGGCUCUGAUGCCACUGUUGGGGAACGUAGUAAUUUCAAAAAAUAUCCUACGCACAUGCAAGAUCAUGGUGAUGCAUAGCAACGAGAGGGAAGAGUGUUGUCCACGUACCCUCGUAGACCGAAAGCGGAAGCGUUAGAACAAUGCGGUUGAUGUAGUCGUACGUCUUCACAGCCCGACCGAUCAAGCACCGAAACUACUGCACCUCCGAGUUCAAGCACACGUUCAGCUCGAUGACGUCCCUCGAACUCCGAUCCAGCCGAGUGUCAAGGGAGAGUUCCGCCAGCACGACGGCGUGGUGAAGAUCUUGAUGUUCUACCCUCGCAGGGCUUCGCUUAAGCACCGCUACAAUAUUAUCGAGGAGGACUAUGGUGGAGGGGGGCACCGCACACGGCUAAGAGAUCAAGAGAUCAAUUGUUGUAUCUAUGGGGUGCCCCCCUCCCCCGUAUAUAAAGGAGUGGAGGAGGGGGCCGGCCAAGGGGGGUGGCGCACCCUAGGGGGAGUCCAACUCCCACCGGGAGUAGGACUUCCCCCUUUCCUAUUAGGAGAGGGAGAGGGAAGGAAGAGGAAGGAGGGAGGAAGGAAAGGGGGGCCGGCCCCCUCCCAAUUCAGAUUGGGCUUGGGGGGGGUGCCCCCUCCCUUGCUCCUUUCCCCUCCUUUCCACUAAGGCCCAAUAAGGCCCAUAUACUUCCCGGGGGGUUCCGAUAACCUCCCGGAGCUCCGGUAUUGUCCCAAUCUCACCCGGAACCUUUCCGGUGUCCAAAUAUAGUCGUCCAAUAUAUUGAUCUUUAUGUCUCGACCAUUUCAAGACUCCUCGUGAUGUCUGUGAUCACAUCCGGGACUCCGAACAACCUUCGGUACAUCAAAACUCAUAAACUCAUAAUAUAACUGUCAUCGAAACCUUAAGCGUGCGGACCCUACGGGUUCGAGAACUAUGUAGACAUGACCGAGACACGUUUCUGGUCAAUAACCAAUAGCGGAACCUGGAUGUUCAUAUUGGCUCCUACAUAUUCUAUGAAGAUCUUUAUCGGUCAAACUUCAUAACAACAUACGUUGUUCCCUUUGUCAUCGGUAUGUUACUUGCCCGAGAUUCGAUCGUCGGUAUCUCAAUACCUAGUUCAAUCUCAUUACCGGCAAGUCUCUUUACUCGUUAUGUAAUGCAUCAUUCUGUAACUAACUCAUUAGUUACAUUGCUUGCAAGGCUUAUAGCGAUGUGCAUUACCGAGAGGGCCCAGAGAUACUUCUCUGACAAUUGGAGUGCCAAAACGUAAUCUCGAAAUACGCCAACUCAACAUGUACCUUUGGAGACACAUGUAGAGCUCCUUUAUAAUCACCAAGUUACGUUGUGACGUUUGGUAGCACAGAAAGUGUUCCUCCGGUAAACGGGAGUUGCAUAAUCUCAUAGUUGUAGGAACAUGUAUAAGUCAUGAAGAAAGCAAUAGCAACAUACUAAACGAUCAAGUGCUAAGCUAAUAGAAUGGGUCAAGUCAAUCACAUCAUUCUCCUAAUGAUGUGAUCCCAUUAAUCAAAUGACAACUCAUGUCUAUGGCUAGGAAACACAACCAUCUUUGAUUCAAUGAGCUAGUCAAGUAGAGGCAUACUAGUGACAUUAUGUUUGUCUAUGUAUUCACACAUGUAUCAAGUUUCCGGUUAAUACAAUUCUAGCGUGAAUAAUAAACAUUUAUCAUGAAAUAAGGAAAUAAAUAAUAACUUUAUUAUUGCCUCUAGGGCAUAUUUCCUUCAAAAAUGCCCCCCAGGAAACCACUAGGGCCACCGUAAUCUCCUCAUGCCCUUGCACAAUGCAAGAUGCCAUGAUUCCACUAAGGGACCCUUGAGGGCAGUUAUCGAACCCGUACAAAUGGCAACCCUAGGGGGAGGUCACCGAACCCGUACACUUUGGCAACCCUUGGGGCGGUCACUGGAACCCGUACAAAUUCCUCGGUGCAAUCUCCACAACCUAAUUGGAGACCCCGACGCUUGCCCGGAGCUUUACACCACAAUGAUUGAGCUCCGAGACACCACAAACCAUCUAGGACGCCCAAGCACCCAAGAGGAACAAGCUCUAGGGUACCAAGCACCCAAGAGUAAUAAGCUUCUCAACUUUUCACUUCCACGUAUCAACAUGGAGAACUCAAAUUGAUGCAACUAGUGCAAAGGCAAGGGCACACGAAGUGCCCAAGUCCCUCACUCUCAAAUCCCAUCAAAGCAACAAAAGCUAUGAAGGAAAAUGGGAGGAAGAACAAGAAGGAGAACACCAAGAACUCCAAGAUCUGGAUCCAAGGGGUUCCCCUCACAUAGAGGAGAAAGUGAUUGAGGAAAUGUGGAUCUAGAUCUCCUCUCUCUCUUUCCCCCCAGAAAAUAGCAAGAAUCCAUUGAUUAAUUGAGAGAUAGCCAGCUCGAAGAAGUUCAACAAUGGGGGAAGAACACGAGCUCAAAGGAUAAGAUGCAAUGGGGAAGAAGACCCCCUUUUAUAGGCCUCUCCAAAUCCAACUGUUAUGCACACAGCCCAUGCACAAGCGGUAGUACCGCUCGGGCGAGCGGUACUUCCACUGGCAUGGUAGUUUCAUCCAUAAUGAGCAACUAAGAAACUCAAGGAGGCGGUAGUGCUACCGAAGCGGUACUACCGCUCCCAUACUACCGCUAGGCGUUGCGUGUAUAGGUGAAACACCGAUAGUAUAGUAGAGCAGCGCGGUACUACCACCCACUACUGCCGCUCUACUUCCGCACAGAGGAAAAUGUAUCCAGAGGCUAAAAUAUAAUCGGAAGUAGCAGCGGUAGUGAAGGGACCGUGGUACCGCUUAUAAGCGGUACUACCGCCCACUAUUGCUGCUCUACUUCCGCUUGAAGGAAUACAAAGAGCAAAACAUAAGCGGUACUCCAUGCGGUAGCUCAUAGUGUAAGUACCGCAUAAGCGGUACUACCGUGGAGCUGGCCGGAACUACCGCUUGGGAGCUAAAAACUGCCCAAGCACAAAAGGAUGCAAGCGAGACCGAAACUGCCAUAACUUCUGCAAAUGAACUCUGAAUUGAGCAAACUCAAGCUUGUUGGAUAGAUGACGACAAAUAGUAAGAAGUGGCAGGGCAAGUAUGCCUAUUAUAUAUAGGAAUGAAACCUCUAUCAGUGAAGAACCAUCAUAUACUCCCACAUCAAAAACAUCAUAGAGGAUGCACAUGAACUCUGUUUCGAAGAACUCGAGCUUGUCAUGAAGAUGACCAUAAGCUAUAAAACUCACAAAGAGAAACACCAAAUAAGAACCAAGAAAGAUGAUGCAAGGAUGCAAUGGUUUGAGCUCUCUACGAACGAUAUGAUCAAGCUACUAACUUGAGAGCCCCCCCUUGAUAGUAUGACAAUCGAUCAUAUAACCCGGUCUCCCAACUACCACCAUGAGACCGGUAAAAUAGAAAACCUAUCAAGGGCAAACCUUUGCCUUGCACAUAGUCCACUUGAGAUAGAUGAUGACGAUCUUGACUUCCACAAGUUGGACCAUGAUAACCCACAAGUAUAGGGGAUUACAGUAGUUUUCGAGGGUAGAGUCACUACUAGGAAAAGGCCUGCUAGUGGCGCACCUGUUUUGGCUACUAAUGGCGCACUACAGGUUCGCCAGUAGCAUCACGCCAUUAGUAAUUAAUACUAAUGGCGCACCCCUGGUGCGCCAUUAGUAUACCAGAUACUAAUGGCGCACCAGAGAGUGUGCCAUUAAUAUAUCACACGGUGCGCCAUUAGUAUGCCUCCCAGGGGGCCAUAUUUACCCAUGUGCUCUGGCUUACUAAUGGCGCACUUGUAGAUGAUGUGCCACUAGUGUGCUUGUUGCAGUGCGCCACUAAAGUGCAGAGUGGUGUGCCACUAGUAUGAAUAUUAGGGAUUUUUUUUCUUUUCUGAUAUUUGCACAUGUUACAAAACAUAUUACUGCACAGAAUAUAGACAACACAACAUAUAAACAGCAGAUUUAUCGAAUACAAUAGAAGAUUAGUCUCCAAAUACAAUUCAUCAUAUUAGUCUCCGAAUUUAAAAUACCAAACAAAGUUAGAACAUUACAAGUCUCGAGACUGCGAGUAGCGGGUUUGUCUUCACAUUACAAGUCGAUAUCGAUCAUCUAAACUACCAUCACAUAGAAGAGAGCUGCGGUCAUCACGAUGAGCAUCAUCACGAUGAAACUGGUCUUCAACCGGUUCCUCCAACGCUCCCUCCUCUCUCCCGCUAGAUAGCGUGUGUAUCUAACUUCCACCUCCGCCCUAGUGGUGUACCCUUUGUAACUGUUAUCGCUGAAACAGUGAACCUGUCUCCAACACUCCUCCCAGUCGUCGUAGACUCCGGGAACCUUACCCUUGUACACAACAUACGAUGACAUAUCUAUGCACUAGCUAAACAAAAUGUUAGUAGCAAUUCACAGACAAUACAUAAGCAAUAUAUAAGUAUGCAACAAAAGGAUCGGAAGAGAAAAGCAACACAUUAAUAGCACGAUUCAUGGUCCUACUAAUAAAUAGCAUCGAUUACAUAUAAGUUGAACGACUAUCCAAACCAAAGAGACAUACAAGUUCAUUAAAGUUUAAUAUUACAACAUGAGCCAAUCGACAUUUCAGAACUACAUAGCAUCACUACUUUCGACUCGACUCAGGGACCGGAGGGUGGAUGAAGCCGCCGUCUUUCGUGAUGGUCAUGAAAUUGCGGGCGUUGUCAGCCUGCAUUUGUAGCAUUGUUUCUAUCUCACUGUUGGACAGUUGAUAUCUGAGGUAGAACUGCCCCGAGGUACGAAGGACAUCUUGAUGGAUGAUUUUCGCAAACUCCGACUGGAUGCGAUAGAAUUCUUGUCUGAUGUCUGCGUCCUGGAUUGCCGACAAGCGUGUGGCCCCGUACGAUCGCCCACAUGUGAUGGAGGGCAUAGUAGGCAUCCUUUUGACUUCCAGGCGGCUGAUUGACGUAGAGGAACAUCGUAUUGUGGGUGAACAUGUGCUUGCCGUACCUACGAAUUGUCCUGGUGAAGGUGCCUCCAGAUCUGGCGUAGCCGGGAAGAACAUCAUCAAGAACUUUCUUGAUAUUUGUGUAGUCUUUCUUCGACUGACGGUCUGAGUCGAAAUACAUGGCCAUGGAAUAUUUCAGGCUUAAGAGGAUGAGUGUGCAACAUGUGUCACUGCACAAAACACGGAAUGUUAGAAAAAAAAGAACGAUCAAAAUCUAAGAAAUCAUAUGUUACGGGGCGGUGAGGGGAUGACUUACUCGGGAAAGUAAGGCACGAGGAAGUUAUCCUUAUCUGGGUUUGCCAGAAUGACGCCUUCGAGGUGUGAACUCGCGACUUGCCGGUCCCCAGCGCUGCCCAAGAUCUUGGCACGCAUGUAGAAGGGGUCGACUAUCACGAUGUCCGGGGUCUUGUAUCUAAUAAUCCGCAUCUCCAUACUCAGCGAAAAUAGCCGAAUGAAGGUGUAGUGCAGCGGAUGAAGGUUAAACAUAGUGAAGAUGUCAUCAAACCACAGGACGAUUGUACCCCCGAUGGCGCUAUCCACAAAGCCCUUGCCCUCUGGCACCUUGGCCACAAAAAUCGGGUAUGCCACAUCAUUCUCGAAAAGACGCUGCUUCUCCAAAGAAAGAACACUGUCAUGCAGACUCUGCAUAGCACCGGUUGCAGCAUUGAGCAGAUUAGUCGGUAGCAUCGGCCUACCCGCCACAUGCACCCUCCUCGAGAUAUCCUUAGGUGAAGGUGGCCCGUCCUGAGAACGGAUCGUACUCGGUGCCGGCUGGCUCGCACCGCCCUUGUUAUUCUUUUGUUUCCGUCCCAUCUUCUUCUGAUGUAAUGGGAUCGAGUUCUGCUCAGAGACCGCCUUCUUGAGUGUGUUGGGGCUGAUAAUAUUUCGCACCUCAACUAUCUGAGGCUCGGUGAAGGCGGCAGCUGGAGGUGUCUCCUGAGAACUAAACGCCAGAUGACGCCUGUUGCAAUUGGGUUUCUCCGUGGUACCAGCUAGACUGCGGUCGUCUUUUGCAGGGUUGGGUUCUUGAGAAGGAGGCCCCAAGAAUUCGUCACUAUACCCAUGUUCGGCAAAGUACUUAUCAACGUUGGUAAAUGUAUCGUCGUUGUCAUCGUCGUCGUUUGGAUCCUGUGCCAUAUGCAUGUCCGGCAUGUCCAGUAGCGUUGCGGCGGUCUUGCCAUGGCUUGGCACCGGCACGACUAGCGGUGUUGUCCGUGGGGUGCUGUCCCCCGCCCCCAAACGAAUUUGGCUCUUCAGCCAAAGCAGGGGCCAGCUUACGCAGGCGCUGAGGGUCAUCAAAUCAUCUUCGUCGGCCCCAGUGGGUCGAAUCAGAGGUAAAAACUCGUCGUAGCCUGGCAGCACCCGAACCAGUUCAACCAUAUACACGGUGGGUGGCAUCGGAUUACCGUGGAACACGGGGUUGCCCGGUUGAACGAUUCUGCCCUUGGCAACAUCGAUCAACUCGCCGCCCACGAAGUGCAGGAGAGUGCAUGGAAUGUCGGCGGCACCCUGUGAAAACAUGUAGGGCGUCAGGGAUGCCCAGUCAAAGGCAAGGAGAUGAAGUCAUCGGCCGAGAGGCUUAGUUACCGUGAUGGCGUCGAUCUCGGCUAAUGUCGAGGCACCGCCAAUGGCGGGCAUGCAACUGACGGAGGGGCCGCUUGCUGCCGAGGUGCCGGCCGGCGUACACCCGGGUGCAUUAAGCUCCAAUGCCCGUGCCGGCGCCGGAGACACCAAUACCGCCUCCGCCAGAGACACCAAUGGCGCCACCUGCGCGUUGUGCGCGUUGCUGGCCGUGAAGCUGGGAACCGGGGGCGGCCCCUGUUGGCCGCCCACAAUCCACGCCUGCAGCCCCUCAAUCAAGGUAGGCACAAUGGCGGUGAGCGUCGUUCCCAGUUGGUGUUGCACUAGCUCUUGGACCAUCUCCGGAAUCCGCACCACUUGUGCCUUGAGUUCUUGAACCUUGCGCGACUGGCUUUCUGAGCUGGUCUUUCUCUCCUUUCGCCCACCUGCGUUAUAGUAUGACGACCAUUUUGUGGACAAGCCUUUGUCGGCCACACGACCAGCUGAUGACGGCUUACUGAACUUAUCCUUGUUUUUCAUUAUGUUGAACGCCCUAUUUAAAGUGUUGUCCCAAGGGGAGCUCUGAGACGACCCCGCGCUACUGCUUUCAGUCUCCCGCGGAAGGAAUGUGAACCAUUUAGAAAUUUGGCUUCAUUAAUUAGAAUGCAACCAUAUGGAGCUAAUUACGCGGGGGUGUAUUCCUUACCAGAACACGCUCAAGCGCCUUGGUCUUCGCAUCCGUGGUAAGCUCCUUUGUUACUGGGUCCUCCUUGUACCGGUCCCUGACAUAGUUCCUGGUCUGCUUGUCACAGUAUUUCUCGAAGCGGGGCGGUAGGCCUUGCUCGGCACGCUCCGCAUCCUCCUUGUCCCAUAUAAGUUCCGCCACUCUGUAACCGCCGGGACCGAGUUGGUGGACCCCUAAAUUCAAGUCCCGCAUUUCUUUCCUCCACUGACUUGAUUCCACGGUCGUGCUUCUCUCACACUUGAUCUUGAACUCCUUGUAGUCAUCUUCGUUGAUCGAAGGAUUUUUCGCCUUGAUCUUCUCAUAACUAUCACCUUUGUCAAUCAUUCUCUUCACCGCGCUUCUCCAAGUAGACAGGGCCGUGCUCAUCUUCAUGAGGGCGGCACUGUUCACUUUAUUCCCUGAGAGGCGUUUGUUUGCAAAAUCAGCGGGGAACUUGUAUCGUUCGUGUAGCUUCAUGAAGAGGAGGCUGCGCAAAUUCCCUCGGUCAGGAUGCCUUAGGUUCUCGGUGUUGAUCGAGACGGUGCUCCGAAGAAUGCACCCGAGCUGAACCGAGUACCCCUUGACUAAUUCUUUGGGCACCGUUGGAUGCCCGUCGGAGGACACUUCAGUAAAUUCCUCCUUGACGGUGCCGAGCAUGUUCGGGCGCCGGUCCUUCUGUUGCCUCUUUGGUUGGCUGCCAUCUGUGUGUGCGCUGCCAUCAUCAGUGGUGGCAUCCUCGGCGGCACCAUCAGUGGUGUCAUCCCCGACGCCACUAGGGGUUGUGUAGUCAGGAUCGGUGUCUUCCGCGGCAUCCUCAUAGCGGUGAGGUUCUUCCUCCAUCUCUUGGGACAGCUCACAGAAUUGCUUGCCCGAACCGCCGGCCUCAUCGUUGUGGGCCAUGUUUUGCUCUAAAUAGGAAAGAAGUUUGGUCAAAAAGUUGGUUAUUGUCAAGGAACAAGAUCAUGGUCUCAUCAUUUAGGAUUUAUCGACAUCGAGGCAUCCUAAAAGCUAAGCUUUUAUCGUUUAGGGUUUGUCGACGCCGUGGCACCCUAAAAGCCUAAGCUUUCAUCAUUUAAGUUUUUAUCGACACCGAGGCACCCUAAAAGCCAAGGUUUUAUAAUUUAGGGUUUGUCGACGCUGAGGCACCCUAAAUGCUAAGUUAAGUUUUCAUCAUUUAGGGUUUAUCGAUGCCGAGGCACCCUAGGUUGACUGAUAUAUAUGGGUAUCUUCUAAUAAUAUACCCUAUCAAGAAAAGGGAAGGAUAAUUCUAAGUUGGGCCAAAUCACUUGGCUCUAUUACCACCUAUGGUUUAAUGCAGCAAGAAUAAAGGGGCAGUUGAUCCUACUUAAUUAAGUACUAAGAUACCCCGACCCAUGCAUUAGUCGCAAGUACCCCAUAUGUCCUAUUUUUAGCAAAGUCAUGCUAAAAUUCACGGAAAAUUUCAGCAUGACCUUUGCUGAAAAUAGGACAUAUGGAGUACCCAAAUUUGCCGGAACGGAAGUUAAUCGACAUUCCGGCAAACUCAAGGGCCUCUCAGGGUACCUGCAAAAUCAUUAUCCCCGCGUAAUGAAGUAGCCAAUGGGUCAUUUCAAAAUAUCACAAGUAGCAUCAUCACAAGUACAACAUCAUCACAAGUACAGCAGCAGUAGCAGUGAAUACAGGCAUAACAGCAGCAGCAACAGGUUUAUUCUUCUUCUUCAUAAACACUAGUUGUCUAAUUGAGCAAUACAGCGACAGUGUGAACAAAUAAAAACACAAACUACACCUACAUAUUUGGGUACCUCUAUGGUAGUAACAUGCCAUGCUCUGCCUAGAGCUACUGCAGCAAUCAUUGUUAUACAUUUCUCUGAAUAGUAUAUAUGGCUUGAAAUGGCAGAACAGGUUACAGUAAUUAGAUGAAUGAAAUGCAUAAGUGUCGAAUCAAAACAAUAUAAAAAAUACCAUGUUCCCUAUGCUGUUUUGAUACACGAUAUGGGUGAAGUGACAUGACACUUCCAAAAACAAGGAUACAACAAUCACUGGUCCCAAAUGAUAAUACAAGGUGGUGUAGAUCUCUAAGGAGCGGCAUUAAAAGGGAAGGGCAUGCGGCAAGAUGCCAUCAAGCUCCCAGCAACAAUGGUCGGGGAGCAUGUCCACAUUAUGCAUGAGAGGAAGGCUUGUAUACAUUAUAAAGUAUGUUUUAAAUAUUUAAACAUCGACAUGAUUCAGAUACUGAGAAAAAUAGAAUGGAAUCAUUGUUAUAGGAUGCAACAGCUAUGACAACUCACUGAAGUAUCAGGGAAAUCUUUACCUAGCAACACAAGUUAAUAGGCUGAUAUUUUCUCCAUAUUUUUAUUGAAAAGGAAGUUCAAACCUCCUGGCAGUCACAAGUGACAGGAGCUGUGCCUACCACUAGGAUGACCACUUUAAUUUUUUUGCUUCUUUUUUUGAGAUAGAAGCACUUUCAGUCUCAGAAACAAAGAUCACACAGCUUUAUAAAAUCAACUUUACAGGAAGUAUUCGUGUAAGGAAACAUUAAUAAGUAUCUAAGUGUUUUUAGUUCAUUUUAUACAAAAGACAAACAACAACCCUUUUCUUUUGCAUCGGAAGAAAAUUCUAGUACUAUGUGAUAAGCUUUAGAAAAUGGAGUACUUACAGCAACUAUGCAGGCAAUCAAUCCAGGCUUCUCCCGGUGAUCCAAAGAAACAAAGAAUAGAAGAAAAGCACCAAUAUACCAGAGAAUUGCAGCCAAGAAGAACCCUAGUAAGAACCUUCAAAACAAAACCAACCUAAAGUCUUUAAUAUGGAUUGAUUGUGCUUUCAUUUUAAAUUUGCAGGUAAGAACAAUGAACUUAUAGAAACUCCUUAAUAUGAAUAUUAUACCGAUGAUAAAAGAUGUCAGAUUACUAGUAGAUAGCAAAGCAGUAGACAACACACUCAGAAGUAACCAUGCCAGUUUAGGAUAAUCCUCUGCUGAUGCAUCAACUUAUAUCCUAAUCCAAUUCCAGUACCAUUUGAUCGCACCAUAUAUUAUAAAUAUGGCCAUGGGCCCUUACCAACCUGACCAAUACGAGUACUAGCACCUCACAAAUUCUCACUAGCAAGCAUAUCUUCCAAAUGCUGCUCGCCGAACUUGUUAAUGAAACAGUUACUCAUGCAAUCCCCCAUUCACAUACCAAGUACUCAUACAGUCGUACUGAACCAAGUGCUCAUGUUGUUACCUUCUUCAAGAGCUUCCUAAUUUUGCCACACCGAUCACAUUGGAGACAAACACCACCAAAAUGAAGGACACUUACAAAGCCCAGCCAACGCCGACGCCAUAGAACGGCAGUCGCGGCUCCCGGACUGGGAGGCCCUCCACCAAGACCUGCUGUUGGAUAGUGCACGGGAAAGCAACAACGCCCUGAGCAGGAAAGUGCUGCUGGAUAGUGCAGAGGCAGGGAAGUGUUAGUACCUGUAGAGAAACCUAGGGGGAAGGAGGGGAGGAGAGAGGAGGAAUCACCUAGAGGAGAACGGCAGGCAGCUGUAGGAGGACGCUGGCGUCGAGGAGGCUGCGGGCGGUGGCGCGUCGAGGAGGCGGCACGUUCUUGCUUCCCCAAGGACCGAGACGGCGAGGCGGGCCGGUGGCAGCGUUGGAACCCUAGCGUUGUUCGGUCGGAGCACCUCGUCGGAGAGGGCGCGACGGUCAUCAGAGCGAGCGAGAGGGUCGUCAGAGCGGGUGUGGAGCGGGCGCAGGGAUCAUCGGAGCGGGUGUGGCGAGGGAGGGAAGGGGGAUCUGGCGAGGGAGGGACGAAGGGGGAUCGGGCGAAGGGGGGAUUAGCUAGAGGGGGGAAGGUUAGUAAUGGCGCACCCCCUAGCGGUGCGCCAUUAGUAAUCUUUUUUUGGAUAGCGAUGUCGCACCUCCUGGCAGUGCACCAUUAGUAAUCUUUUUUUGGAUAGNNNNNNNNNNNNNNNNNNNNNNNNNNNNNNNNNNNNNNNNNNNNNNNNNNNNNNNNNNNNNNNNNNNNNNNNNNNNNNNNNNNNNNNNNNNNNNNNNNNNNNNNNNNNNNNNNNNNNNNNNNNNNNNNNNNNNNNNNNNNNNNNNNNNNNNNNNNNNNNNNNNNNNNNNNNNNNNNNNNNNNNNNNNNNNNNNNNNNNNNNNNNNNNNNNNNNNNNNNNNNNNNNNNNNNNNNNNNNNNNNNNNNNNNNNNNNNNNNNNNNNNNNNNNNNNNNNNNNNNNNNNNNNNNNNNNNNNNNNNNNNNNNNNNNNNNNNNNNNNNNNNNNNNNNNNNNNNNNNNNNNNNNNNNNNNNNNNNNNNNNNNNNNNNNNNNNNNNNNNNNNNNNNNNNNNNNNNNNNNNNNNNNNNNNNNNNNNNNNNNNNNNNNNNNNNNNNNNNNNNNNNNNNNNGCGGUGGAGCGGGGAAGGGUGCGGGGGGUCGGCAGCGGCGGUGGAGCGGGGGAGGGUGCGGGGGGUCGGCGGCGGCGAGGAGGAUCUGAUGAGGGGGGGUAGCGAUCGAGAUGGAGGGGGAUCUGGCACGGGGGGUGCGCCAUAAGUAACUUUUUUAUUAUUACUUUUAGUUGCGUCUAAUAUUUUUUUAGAAAAUGACGAUCAAAUUUGAAAAAAAUUAUGAAUGUGAAAAAAUAUGAUCAAAUUUGUUAUUUGAAAAUAUUUAUGAAUAUAAAAAAAUAUCAUCAAAUUUGUUAUUUGAAAAAAUCAUCAAAUUUGUUAUUUAAAAAUAUCAUCAAUAUUUUUUUUGGAUUUUUAGUUGCAUUCAUUUGUGAAUUGGUAAAACAUUUAUGAAUAUGAAAAAAUAUCAUCAAAUUUGAAAAAAUAUUCAUGAAUUCAAAAAGUGCCCAUGAAAUUUAAAAAUAUUCAUGAGUUCAAAAAAUAUUAACAAAUUCAAUACUUUUUGUGAGUUAGAAAUUCAAUACCAUAAUAAACAUAAAUAAAUAUUCAUGAGGACACUAGAACGGAAGAAAUAUCAUUUCAAUAUCUCGAAAUACAAUCGAGAAAUGAAGGCUACAAUUUACAUACAAUCGAUCUUAGCUAGCUAUAUGUUCACAAUCUACUUUCCCUUAUUUUUCGCAAAUGGAGUUCUUCUCUUGAACGGACGCCCUUUAGGUAAGGUGGUCCUGCUUCUUCUUGUGGUGUAUGCUGGUACUUCAUCAUCGUCGUCAUGUUCCAUCUUCGGGUGGCCGUACUUGUCGAAGUCUUGCUCAUUGGCGACUCCAUCCAUUUCGAUGAUCUUCCUUUUGCCUCUCCUCACGACGACACGACUGGGCUUUGACGGGUAGGUAAUGAAGAAGCAUUGGUCCACUUGGGAAGCUAGUACCCGUGGCUCAUUUUUCGCGGUGACGUUUGCGCCCGCGGUCUUGGAUUUGGCUUCGGGUAUAACCAUGGUGGUGAAAUACCGAUCUUCUUUUAGGAAGCUCUUGGCCCAUCUGACAGGGAACAUCAGGACCUUCUCUCCAGCGUAGCUCAGCUCCCAGAUCUCCUCGAUCCUUCCGUAGUAUCUGUCCUUGUCGUUACCGGUGUAGGAUUCCAUUGUUACCCCGGAGUUCUGAUAACCAUCGCUCUUCAUGUCCUUUCCCUCGGUGUAGAAUGUGUAGCCAUUGAUAUCGUACGCCUCAUACGUCAUCAGAUUGUGCUCGGCGCCCUAUGACAAGGUGAAUAUGAGUUGUUCUUCCGCGGAAGAAUCCUCAUGUAAAGGGUACGACAGAAGCUUCUGCUUGAACCAACGCGUGAAACAUGAGUUGUGCUCUUUGAUUAUAUCUCCGUUCAUCCUCUGUUGGCCUCAGUCAUUGUACGUCUUCUCAAUAAAGGUUUUGUGCUCUACCACCCAAGGAUCGACCAUGUCUAUGUGUUGUAGCGCGACUAGGUUUGCUCUUUCAAAGUCGGCGAGUCGACCCUCGAAGUCGAGAUGCAUUUCACGGCGACCAUCACGGUGACCCCAUCCAGCGAGCCUGCUGAGGUGCCUGUUGAUGGGAAGACCAACGGUGUUCUCGAUGCCUAGAUAAUUCGUGCAGUAGGAGAUGCACUCUUCGGUCAGAAAGCCCCUGGCCAUGCUUCCCUCUGGACGUGACAUGUUGCGAACGUAUCCUUUGAUGACACCAUUCAUCCUUUCGAACAACAUCAUGCUGUGCAGGAACGUCGGCCCGAGUUGGAUGAUAUCCUCCAUGAUAUGGACCAGCAGAUGCACCAUAACGUCGAAGAAUGCGGGCGGGAAGUACAUCUCAAGCUCGCAUAGUAUCACCAUGAUCUCUUCAUGUAGCCUUCUGAGUUGCCUCACGCCAACCGACUACUGAGAGAUGACGUCGAAAAAGUUGCAUAGGACAAAUAGCGUUUCACGGACGUGCGCGUCCAUGAUCCCACGGAUUGCAACUGGAAGUAUCUGCAUCAUCAGCACGUUACAGUCGUGAGACUUCAUCCUGCUGAACUUCUACUUCGCUGAGUCUAGGUAUCUGCUUAUCUUCCCCGCGUAACCGUAAGGAAGUUUUACUCCUACGAGGCAGGUGAAAAACUGAUUGAUCUCCUCCUGACUUAGAGUGAAGCAUGCGGGAGGGAAGUCAUUUCCGGUCUUCUUGGCCUUUUUGCCUUUGCGACGACUUUCCGUGUCCUGCUUCGCCUCAUCAUCAUCAUCAUUAGCGUGAAGCUCCUCCCUGAUGCCCAUUGAUUUCAAGUCUGCCCUUGCUUUCGGCCCAUCUUUGGUCCUCUCUGGCAUGAGCAGGGUACCAAGCAGACUCUUACACACGUUCUUCGUGAUAUGCAUGACAUCAAGGCUGUGAGGCACACGGUGGAUCUUCCAGUACAGCAAGUCCCAGAAAACAGACCUCGUUUUCCAUACCUUCAGCAGCGGCUCUGGUGCCUUUCGCUUCUUUCCCAGCUCUGGCGCCUUUUGCUUCUUUCCCAGCAGUGGGCAAUCUUUCCAAUUUUUCAAUAGCUCGUCUAUUUCCUUGCCACUCCUCGUACGCGGGCGUCUUCGGGGUUCGGUUUCACCAUCGAACAUAUCCUUGCGUUUCCUCCAUGAGUCAUCAUCGCAAAGCCACCUUCGAUGUCCCAUGAACACGGUUUUUGAAGACCCGGGAUUUCUAUCUAGCUGGCGAUACGUUGUGUCAUCCAUGCACCUGACGCAUCCAGAAAAUCCGUGGACCACCUUCCCCGCGACAUAUCCGUAACCGAGAUAGUCCUGCACCGUCGUGAGCAGUGCGACUCUCAUAGGGAAAUAUUCUUUCUCUGCGGCGUCCCACAUAUUGGCUGGCGUUUUCCAUAGCGUGUCUAGCUCCUCUUUCAGCAGCCCCAUAUACAGAUUGAUGCCAUUCCCUGGUUGUUUCGGCCCUUCAAUUAGCAUACUCAUGUGAAUGUACUUCCUCUUCAUGCACAACCAGGGGGGAAGGUUGUAUAUCCACACAAACACAGGCCAGGUGCUAUGUGUGCUUCUCUGGCUGCCAAACGGAUUGACUCCAUCGGUGAUCGCGCCCAGUAUGAUGUUCCUUGGAUCGUUCCCAAAUUCUGGGUGUUCGAAGUUCAACGCUUGCCGCUGGCUCGCAUCCUUAGGGUGACUCAGCAUCUUGUCUUUUUUAUUUAUCUCUGGAUCAUUUGCGUCAUCUUCUCACUUCUUCUCCUCCCUAUCCGCGUGCCAACGCAGGAGCUUUGCUACCUUAGGGUCCGCGAAAUACCGCUGCAGACGAGGAGUGAUCGGAAAGUACCACACCACUUUUCAAGGAGCUUUCUUCCUCUUCUUGUAUCGAGUGACGCCGCACACCGGUCAUAUGGUAGACUCUGCGUGCUCAUCCCGAUAAAUGAUGCAAUUGUUCAUGCACACAUGGUAUUUCACGUGUGGUAAAUCCAGAGGACACACGAUUUUCUUCGCCUCCUCGAAACUGGUCGGGCACUUGUUCCCCUUGGGAAGACGUUCGUGCCAGAAUGACAUGUUCUCGUUGAAGCAUGCGUCGGUCAUUUUGUGUUUUACCUUCAUCUCCAGAGCCAUGAGCAUUACUUUCAGGCAGGUAUCCUCGGGCCUGCAUCCUUCAUCCAAUGGAGUAACCACGUCUAUCUCCAGUUGAUCCAUCUUGGCUUUCUCUCGGGCGGCAGCUCUUGCGUUAUCGGUCUACUUGAGAAGCAGCUCUUGAAUAUGAGGGUCCUGCACCCAGCCCAUCGAUGGGCCAUCGUCGUCUGCUCCGACAUCUUCAUCUUCAUGAUCAUGCCCUUUGUCUACUCUAGCAUCUUCCUCAUCAUCAUGUACGGCAUCUUCUACAUGAUGACUGUGUACUGCAUCUACUUCAUGAUCAUGUCCUGGAGAUUCUUCGUCUUCUCGCCCGCCCUCGUCGCAGUUGUCUUGCUGCCCUUCCUCAUUUCUUGCCCGGCCCCCAUGGACGACUUCAUAAUCAUCUUCAUCACCUUGCCACCGAUAGCCAUCCAUGAAACCACGCAAGAGCAGGUGGUCCCACACCUGUACAGAAUCCGGGUCCAUAAGGCUCCUUAGCUUGCAUCUUCGACACGGACAUCUUAUCUCCGUCUCGUUCUUUUGAAGCAUCUCGGUCUUCGUGGAGCUCAAAAACCUAUUCACGAUGCCUUCGGUCAUCGUGUGGACCAUGGUCGCCUGCGGGGUAGAGCAAAACGAUAUUUUAGAACCAAGAAAUUUUUUGGCAUGACUUUGCCUAAAAAUAGGACCAAAAAGAAUGCAUAGUGCCAAAUUCUCGCCGAAACGGAAAUGAACAUUCCGGCAAAAUAUUGGCAACUAUCGCAUUUCAAAUACUGGUACCUGCAAACACAAACAUAUAUGCAACACCACAAAUAUAUGCAACACCACAAAUAUAUGCAACACCACAAACAUACAUAGAUCUAGCUAGGCCAUAAAAAGUGCAUGUGCACGUUGUUGGAGGGAGGAAAAAAAGUAGAUCUACAACAUAAAGAAAGCUUUCCCCUUACUUACCUAUCAAAAAAAGGUAAUUUAACCACUUAAUUUGGAUGAAUCUAUGGUGCAAAUGAGGUGAGGAGGAGGAGGCAGCCGAGACAAGCUUGGAGGAGGUGGUGGAGAGAAUGAAGUGGGGAAAGUGAGUGUGUAGGUGGCUGUCCAAAAUAUCUACCUGGUCCCAGGUUACUAAUGGUGCACCACCUACAAAUGCACCAUUAGUAACCCUGGUUACUAAUGGCGCACUAGCUGAUGGUGCGCCAUUAGUAGUUUUGCAAAAAAAAUGAUAGUAGUGGCGCACGGGGUGAGUGGUGCGCCAUUACUAGUUAAAACUAGUAAUGGCGCACUGUGCCCUGGUGCGCCAUUAGUAUUUUUGGAAAAUAAUAAUAAUAAAUUGUUAGUAGUGGCGCACCGUGGGUGUGGUGCGCCAUUAGUGUCCAUCACAUUAAUGGCGCACCAACACAUGGUGCGCCACUGCUAUAUAGUAGUGGCGCACCACAUGACUGGUGCGCCAUUAGUGUCCAUAUUAUCUAUAGCCCUUUUCCUAGUAGUGAGUAUUCAACCCAAUUUAUUGAUUUGACACAAGGGAAUCCAAAGAAUAUUUGCAAGUAUUAGCAGACGAGUUGUCAAUUCAACCACAUCCAAAGAUUUAUUAUCUGCAACAAUAUGAUCAGUAGCAAAGCAAUAUGAUAGUUUUGAUAGUAGUAGCAAUAGCAAUAGUGAUGAUAACAAUGAUAGCGAUUUUGUAGCAAGUAUAACGGUAACAACAACAGUAGUAACUUAGCAAGAACAAUAUAAGAGAAAUUUGUAGGCAUUGGAUCAGUGAAUUCGUUGGAUGAUAUUCAUCAUAUAACAGUCAUAACCUAGGGUGAUACGACAGUAGCUCCCGUUCAUAAAUAUAAUGUAGGCAUGUAUUUCGUAAAUUGUCAUACAUGCUUACGGAAAGAACUUGCAUGACAUCAUUUGUCCUACCCUCACGUGGCAGCGGGGUCCUAUUGGAAACUAAGGGAUAUUAAGGCCUCCUUUUAGUAGAGAAUUGGAACAAAGCAUUAAUACAUAGUUAAUACAUGAACUCCUCAAACUACGGUCAUCACCGGAAAGUAUCCCGACUACUGUCACUCUGGGGUUUACGGAUCAACACGUAAUAGGUGAAUAUAACUUGCAAGAUCGGAUCUAGAACAUAGAUAUAAUGGUGAUAACAUAAACAAUUCAGAUCUGAAAUCAUGACACCCGGGCCCAAAGUGACCAGCAUUAAGUAUGGCAAAGUCAUGUCAACAUCAAUCUCAGAACAUAGUGGAUACUAGGGAUCAAGCCUUAACAAAACUAACUCGAUUACAUGAUGGAUCUCAUCCAACUCCUCACCGACCAGCGAGUCUACGAAGGAAUUACUCACUCCCGGUGGGGAGCAUCAUGGAAUUGGCGAUGGAGAAGGGUUGGUGAUGACGAAGAUCGCAAGAUCCCCCUCUCCAGAGCCCCAAAUGGACUCCAGAUCUGGCCUGCUGAUGAAGAAUAGGAGGUGGCGGCGGCUCCGUCUUGUGAAACGCUAUAAUACUUUCUCCCAGAUUUUUUUCUCUGAAAAUAUGAUUUUAUAGUAUCAGGGUUGAGGUCUGCAGGGCCACCAGGUGGGGAAAACCCACCUGGGCGCGCCAGGAGGAGGGGCACUGGUGGGUUGUGCUCACCCUAGGGCCCCCCUCCGGUGGUUCUUGGCUCCAGUAUUUUUAUAUAUUCUGAAAUAAUUCUUCAAAAAGUUUCAUUCCAAUCUAAGAUUUUUUAUUUCUGCACAAAAACAACACCAUGGUAAUUCUAUUGAAAACAAUGUCAGUCCGGGUUAGUUUCAUUCAAAUCAUGCAAAUUAGAGUCCAAAACAAGAGUAAAAUUGUUAGAAAAAGUAGAUACGAUGGAGAUGUAUCAGACCGCCUUUCUUGAUUGCGUUGGCUGAAUGAAGACUAGUUGAUUGCUCCCCCAUACUCCAUAAUGGGUGAGCCACUCUUCGGCACAUCUUCAUAACUCCAUUGUCACCAUAAUGGAUGGCAAGAAACAAGCAUGAGAUCUCUUCGUGAUGCUCCACUUGAACUUGCACACCGCAAUCUUGAUGAUGAUCACCACUUGAUGUCAUCCUCCAUGGGUUAUAUAAUAUCUUCCUUUUGAUGCACGACCAUGGAAACAUACCGAAGCCCACAAACAACUCGUAGACCAUGGGUUAGUACACAAAAACUAAUGGACAAUGCUAAUUAUACCAUGGGAUCACUUGAUCCCUCUCGGUACAUGUUGUAUGCUUUGUGUGUUGAUCAACUUGAUUCACUCUUUGACUUGGUCUUGAUCAACCUUGUAUCAUGUCUUCUACAUGACCAAUCUUUGGAUAAUUCCUUGAAUAGCACAUUGAUCAUCACAUAAACUCCUUGAAACGAACACAUGGACUUUAAGAAAUGCUUAUGGGCAAAUCCUUCAAAUAUAGCUCAAGGCAACCAUUAGUCCAUAGAGAAUGUCAUCAAUUACCAAAACCACACAUGGGGGCACCAUGCUCUUUCAAUGUUGAUUUCAAGAUGACACCAAAUACACCUAGUCUUCGCAACAACACAAUUCAAGAGCUACCUACUGUGAGGAUGCAUGCACCAAUAUUCUUUUUUAAAACAAGAUAUAACCUCACCAAAGCAGUCAAUGAACAAGAAAACAUCAACAUCAAUCACCAACAUUGGCAACCCCUGAGAAACAUUCUCCAGCAAUGAUGUCUCUAGGAAGGGAAGGAGCAGUGCACAAUUACCGUCACAGUACAAGUAAUGAAGCUACACGUUAAGUUUAUUGCCAUCAUAAUACACACUUCAGCUUUUUGGUGAACUAUCCAUGCAAAGCACCAUCUCAUUCGCCAAAAGCUCCAGCUGAAAGAGAGGGCAAAUCAUUAUACUCUAACAAUCUUCUUCUAUCUAUGCUCCAUUGAAAUUACAGUGUGGGUAUUGGAAGCUAUGUUUUGCGAUUCGAAAGCAAAAUAAUAAUAAUCUAGACCUUAUAGAAAAAUAAGCAGUAAUUGCAAAAUGUUGAUACGGAGGACUAAAUCCCAGAUAGAGAUGUUUGAAAAUUUCAAGUCCCAGUCCCAUUUUUGUCAAGUAGUAACCGCAACACCUUCUAUGCUUUACUUCCUACCUACCACCUCACCGAAAGAAUCAAUUUCUGUCAUUUUACUAAGAAACACAAAACUGUGAAUAUAAUAGGGAGGGCUACACUUAUUUGUCUAGUUAUUUCUUUAUUGUAAACUAUAUGCAUCCAACCAAUUCACGCAUUAGUUCAAUGAUUUUAUCUCAAGUAAACCAUAAUGAUGAAAUAUGUCAUAGUUGAACUAUUAGGUUUUGUGACAAAUGGCAUAACGGACUUCCUUUGGAAAUCCUUUCUCUCAACUAAGCAAGUUUAUGGGGCUUCUACGCGAGGUACAACUCCCACAAACAAACUAGGUUACAAUGUGUUCAACCGCCUUUCUAGAAACCAUUGAAGCACCAAAUACAAGAUUAUAUGUUCACUAGGGAGAUACUGCAUUCAGUUCGUCAGGGUUUGUAUAGCAUUCCUAGGUGAAUGGUUUGACUCAUACCUGACAUGCACCGCGUAUUGAAACCUUGAGACAUAAUGUCGAAAAACACAAAUUGAUAGCUAACUAUAUUAGAUCUAGAAACAUCGACCCUCAUUUUUUUAAUCAUAAAGUGAUUUUACAAACCCCCGACAUGUUGUGUUUGGCGUGUACACGUAAUAGAUUAAUGGGCCUAGCAAAAAAACAAGACAAAUGCUAGGGAUGUAUGCCUCUGUUUUUUUAUUUACCCCGCAUAUUAGUUUAACUGAAGUCAAAUGUUAUAAAGUUUGACCAAGUUUGUAGGAAACAAUAGGAACAUUUAACAUAAAAAACCUAUGUCCUGUGAAAAUAUAUUCAAUGAUGAAUCUAAUGGUAUUGAUUUGUGGUGUAUAUGUUACUAUAUUUUUGUACCACUGUCGGUGUUAAAACCGGCGGAUCUCGGGUAGGGGGUCCCGAACUGUGCGUCUAGGCGGAUGGUAACAGGAGACGAGGGACACGAUGUUUUACCCAGGUUCGGGCCCUCUUGAUGGAGGUAAAACACUACGUCCUGCUUGAUUAAUAUUGAUGAUGUGUGCUACAAGAGUAGAUCUACCACGAGAUCAAGGAGGCUAAACCCUAGAAGCUAGCCUAUGGUAUGAUUGUUGUUCGUCCUACGGACUAAAGCCAUCCGGUUUAUAUAGACACCGGAGAGGGUGUUACACAGAGUCGGUUACAAUGGUAGGAGAUCUACAUAUCCGUAUCGCCAAGCUUGCCUUCCACGCCAAGAAAAGUCUCAUCCGGACACGGGACGAAGUCUUCAAUCUUGUAUCUUCAUAGUCUUGGAGUCCGGCCGAUGAUGAUAGUUCGGCUAUCCGGACACCCCCUAGUCCAGGACUCCCUCAGUAGCCCCUGAACCAGGCUUCAAUGACGAUGAGUCCGGCGCGCAUAUUGGCUUCGGCAUUGCAAGGCGGGUUCCUCCUCCGAAUAAUUUAUAGAAGAUUGUGAACACCAGGAUAGUGUCCGGCUCUGCAAAAAUAAUUUGCACAUACCACCAUAGAGAGAAUAAUAUUUCCACAAGUUCAAUCUGCUGACGUAUUUGAUGGCAUGACGUCACACCGCUACCAAGCCUUUACUUAAAUCGUUUUUAUUGUACCACCUCAGCGCGUUUAGCGAAGCGGUUUCCUUGGCACGUCUUGUCGAAGCAGAGAUCAUGUUCCCCUUAUUCCGGGAUUCCCAUCAAUACGGACGUGGGUAACCCAACCGCGCCAUUGAUUGCGGCGCUUGGGGGAUAAGCGAGUUUUAUCAGGCCGGUGGGGACGCAUGUUUUCGUCCGCCCAUAUAAGGGGAUAAAGAUCCAACCCUAUUACCUGCGCCUUCUUCCUCCUUGGCUUACCCAUCUCUGCGAACCCGAGCUCCAGCGCCCAAGCGCGCACAUCUCACCUCAACCUUCUCCAACUAUGUCCGGAGCAGGAGGCAAGUGGAUGGCCUCCUCCAUCACGGAGGGGCAGAUCUAGAAGCUGCGCAACGCCGGAUACUUGUCCAGCGACAUCGCGCACCGGCUCCCCAAUGAGGGAGAGCUCAUCCCCACCCCCAAGCCCCAUGAGAGGGUAGUAUUCCUUCCCCAUUUCCUCCGCGGACUGGGCUUCCCACUCCAUCCCUUUGUCUGGGGGCUCAUGUUCUACUACGGCCUGGAUUUCCAUGAUUUGGCCCCGAAUUUCAUCCUCAACAUCUCGGUGUUUAUCGUUGUGUGUGAGGCCUUCCUCUGCAUCCAGCCCCACUUCGGCUUGUGGCUCAAGACCUUCAGUGUCAAGCCGAAGGUUGUGAAGGGCAGCCAAGCGGAGUGCGGAGGCGCCAUGGUGGGCAGGAUGUCCCAUGUUACUUAGCUCGAGGGAACUUUCGUGGAAACCAUCAAGGGGUGGCAAUCGGGGUGGUUCUACAUCACCGAGCCGCGUGAUCCCGAAUGGGCAGCGGUCCCCGAAUUCAGAUCCGGCAUCCCCACACGGCUCACCUCCUGGAAAGAGAGCGGCCGGACAUGGGGUGAUUCGGAGGAGCUGACAGGACUCCAAGCUUGUAUCCAAAAGCUAGUGGACAAGAAGCUCAAGCUUGUCAACGUAGUCCAGGUCAUGCUCAUCUGCCAGAUUCUCCCGUGCCAACGACGGGGCUUCAACAUGUGGGAGUUCGAUCCGGCACAGCACCAGACUUUGAAUGGGCUCUUCGACACUACAUACGAAGAUGUCUCGAAGGUGCUAUUCAAGGGCGCCGAAGCUCCCGCAUCCGCUACCGAAGAUCGCGGAUUCAGCUCAGAGCGUCCAGCUGAUGAGGUAAGUUAUUUUGUCCUUUAAGGGACGCUUGUUUUCCAUAGUUUGACUCUAUGCGGGAUCUAAACUCCCUUUCCUUUGACAGGACUAGAUGAAGAAGGCCGAACAGGCUAUCUGUCCGGCCCCAUUGCCAGAGGACCCAGCGGAUGCCCGUUUGACGGGGCUGCUAGCUUCGGCACCCCAUGUGGUGCCGGAGAAGAAGGCCAAGAAGAAGGUCACAGGGACUCGGAAGAGUUCCCGCUUUCAGGUGCUAUCGGAUGACGACUCCGAGGCCGACUCCUCUCACCAAGGUGAGGAGGAGAAGAAGAAAGCCUCUUCCCCAGCGGGGGGAGAGAAGAAAAAGAAGGCCUCCCCAACGAGGGAGGCCGAGGGGUCCAAGAAGGGAAAAACUCUUCCCCCGGACUGCUCUGCCAAUGCCAGUGAUGACGACGAGGACUGGCCUCCAAGGGCCAAGCCCUAGGCGAGAUCGUGAGUAUCCGGACUCCCGAAUAACUUCAUGGUUUAUCUUUUUUGCCACACAAUGUCUUUCUAAUGCCGCAUACAACCCUGCAGUCCGCCCAAGGACGAUCUUCCCGCUUCGUCGAGCGGGUCCUUAGGUGCGUCGGAUAUGGAUUCUCUUCCGACCGCCUCCACCCCCCGUGACACGGACGAUGCCAAGGUGGGAUCCCGGGAAGGGACCCGCCAGGAGGAGGAGGCCCCGGAGGUGUCGCAGGACAACCUCCCGGACUUUGCACCGGACUCGGCUCCGGAUCCCAUAGUGGCUCCGGAGUUCGGCGGGCGGCCCCUUCGUAAGAAGGGCAAGACCGUGACACCGGCAGCCUCCGUCCAACCGAAGGCGCCGGAUAGCUUGCUGGAGGCGCUCAAUGGCGCCUCCAUCAAAGAGGAACACCGCACUGUUAUGAGUGCGGUGAUUUAGAAGGUGCAGCUCGCCAAGAGCGGGCUGACCGAAGCCUGCAACAGCCUUCUAACAGGCUUUGAGGUAAGAAUUUUGAUAUAUGUAAAAUAGUACCGCAUAGACAGUAGCCCCUGAUGCUCGGUUCGGUGUUCGGAAAGAAAAGCCGGACUGAGGAUCUAAGAAGAUAUACGCAGGAGUCAUAAAAAAUAUGUCGAUAUGGGAUUGCAGGCUGCGCUGCUGACCUCUGCCGCACUGACUGCGGAGGUCAAUACUUUGAAGGAAGGCCUCGAGAGGUCCGAGAAUGAGCUCGGCCGUGCCAAGAAGCAGCUCGAGGACAAGGAAGGUGAGUAACACCUUAUUAAAAUUGUACCUUACAGAAAAGGAUUUUGGUUGCAAAAUGAAGGACAAGGAUAACAUGGGUAUUGCAGGGGCCACUAACGAGGUGGCGACCCUGAAAGAGGCGGUGGCUGCGACCGAACACAAUGCGGCCGCGGAGCGCACCGAGCGAGAGAAGCGGGAGGCACGGGUGGCGGAGGUACAGCAAGAGCUCCAGGAUCUCGUGAAAAAACAUGAGAGCCUGGAGCGUGACUCGACGACUCGAGAGUCUGAGCUUGCAACGGCUCUUAAGAGUGCCAAAGCCGCUAAGGCCGAAGCCUACAAGGCCCUCCAGGAAAUCGAGGCGUUGAAGAAAAUAGCAGCGGGUAAGGCAUUUUUCAUGCAAAGUAAGCAUGUGAGUGUUAAUUACCUGUUGCUUACCCGAAUUCGGAGCUCUCCAGGAGCGUUCGCAGAUCUUCCUCGCAGCGUGUCCGAUGCUGCCGCGUUCUACCGGGCCGAGGAGGGGAGCUCGACGGAGAAGGUCUUCUGGUCUCAGUAUGCUGAGGCCGGACAUCCGGUGCCCCUUAGCGACCAGCUAAAGCAGCUGGUCGAGCUCUACAAGGUGGCCGAACAGGCCAUGAAGGGCCUCAUAGUUCGGCUGUGGCCUAAGGAGGCCAUGCCUGGGAGCUACUUCGGCCUGGUGCGGCGGCUGGUGGAUGCGUGCCCGUGGGUCGAAGUCAUCAAGCACUCCGUCUGUAUUGAAGGUGCCCGUCGGGCCCUUGCCCGCUCAAAGGUGCACUGGGGCAAGAUGGAUGCCUAGAAGCUCGUGACGGACCCACCACCGGAGCGCAAGGAGCAUCGCACGCCCGAGAUGUAUUAUAAGAGUGUGCUGAAGGGCGCCCGCACUAUUGCGGGUGAGUGCUCCAAAGAUGUAAUAUUUGAGUAGACUCGCAUUUUGUUAUCCUGUGCGCUGAAAACUUAGUUCAUUUGCGCUAAGCAACGUGUUUUGAUUUAAAAUAUUACCUUCUGUGCGGCUGUUUAUCAAAUCUGAGAGAUGGCAAGUCGUCGGCUUCAGCCCCCAUGCCACGAGUGCUGGGGUGUUCGGGAUAAACUUGAGCACUCUUGUUCCCAUAUUUGGGUCCAUCUAGGGAGGCGCUCAACACAACGAACAAGGCAACCGGACUUAUAAUGCUUGAACACUCUCACUUAGCCAUAAAAUUCUAUAAUUUUAAAUUUCGGCGAAGCCCCUAAUCUUCGGAAGGCCGAAUUUGGGGCGCUAUCCAUGCCUUGGCCGGACAAAAACCGGCUCCUCGCUCUAAGCGGCAUAAGUCUUUAGGGACUCACAAAAAACCUCUCGAACAGCGACCAGCUCUCACCUCAUCAUGACGGUCAGUUUUAGCUUUCUCCACUGAGGCGUUAACCCAGCUCAACUGGGGCGCAAUCGCAGUGGUUCUCCCAGUGCUACCUUAGCCGAUACAACGGAACAUAAGGUACCAAAACAUGGGAGCCGGGCAAACCCAACUAUUGACCCAAGACAUGAUUCGGAGCUGAUGCAUAUAUUGCUAUAAGUUCGGGGUGCCGCACUUGUGAAAGUGUUCGGACUUAUCACACCAUGAUGCGGGAAACAUAAGCCCCUGGUGUAUUUAGCCAUACCAGAACGUACGGAUGCGUAAUGUCACAAAUGAACAUAUGUAUAAAAAAGAAAUGCAAUUGCAAGCAAAAAAAGGUGCUGCAUUACUUAUUAAAGAAAAAUUGUUGUAAGUGCAGAACGAUACAAAUGGUGCGAUAAGCAAGGGAUGGGACUGUUAAACAUGUCCCCCUCCAGGGGUAGGCUGCGGAAUGGUGCAUAAAACAGAUUUAAUGCUCGUAAUGGAGACCACCUGGAUAGUCGUUGUAGCCUUUCUUCUUCCCUAGCUAUUGCAUCGUGAGUUCGGCAGGUCUACUACCGGACAGGGCCUCUGACGAACGGAGUCCUGUGGGUAAAAAUAAAAAAAAGGAAAAAGAAAAAAAAGAACGACACACUUGAGAGCCCCUGGUGUGGUUGAGCCGCAGUCUGGGCCUAUCGUGGUCGUGCCCCUCUCCCCAUGCCCAUGGUAUCUUCAGAGCGUAAUGGUGUACGCGAAGGACCUGUCUUGAUGUUUUACAGGGGCUGGGGUUGGGGCCGCACUGCUACGCAUGCUCGACACGUGCCAGGUGGUCUUGUUGUAAGUUACUCCGGGCGCGCUUAGCUGUGUACGGCCGCUUAAUGGCCGAACUCGAGAAUUGCCUUAAGAGGCUGCAUUGUACUUCUGCCGCGAGAGCCGUUGUAUGUUCCUCCGUGCGGAGAGAACGUUCAGUGUUUCCGUUGACCGUGAUGACUUCUCGAGGGCCUGGCAUCUUGAGCUUGAGGUAUGCGUAGUGCGGCACCGCGUUGAACUUUGCGAAUGCGGUACGUUCGAGCAGAGCAUGAUAGCCGCUGCGGAACGGAACUAUGUCGAAGAUUAAUUCCUCGCUCCGAAAGUUAUCCGGGGAUCCGAAGACCACUUCUAGUGUAACUGAGCCUGUGUAAUUGGCUUCUACACCUGGUAUGACGCCUUUAAAGGUCAUCUUGGUAGGUUUAAUCCUUGAGGGGUCUAUGCCCAUUUUGCACACUGUGUCCUGAUAAAGCAGGUUCAGGCUGCUGCCGCCGUCCAUCAGGACUCUGGUGAGGUGAAAUUCAUCGACGAUUGGGUCUAGAACCAAUGCGGCGAAUCCGCCAUGGCGGAUGCUGGUGGGGUGGUCCCUCCGGUCAAAAGUGAUCGGGCAGGAGGACCAUGGAUUGAACUUCGGGGCAACUGGCUCCAUCGCAUAUACAUCCCUGAGUGCACGCUUCCGCUCCCUUUUGGGUAUGUGCGUUGUGUAUAUCAUGUUCAUCGUCCGCACCUGUGGGGGGAAACCCUUCUGUCCUCUAUUGUUCGGCGGCCGGGUCUCUUCCUCGUCAUCGUUGUGCAGCCCCUUGUCAUUGUUUUCGGCAAUUAACUUGCCUGCCUAUUUGAAUACCCAACAGUCCCUGUUGGUGUGGUUGGCUGGCUUUUCCGAGGUGCCAUGUAUUUGGCACAAGCGGUCGAGUAUUCGGUCCAAAUUGGACGGACCCGGAGUAGUUCUUUUAAAUGGCUUUUUCCGCUGACCGGGUUUAGAGCCUCUGAAUCCGGCAUUGACUGUUGUAUCUUCACUGUUAUCGCCGUUAAUGCGGCGUUUGUUUUUGUUGCGAUGCGACCUGCCACUACGGUCCUUGAAAUCCGGACUGCCAGAAUUUUUGCUGAGGUUAUUGCUGCGUGCUAGCCAGCUGUCCUCACCCGUGCAGAAGCGGGUCAUGAGUGAUGUGAGGGCUGCCAUUGAUUUCGACUUUUCCUGUCCUAGGUGCCGGGCCAGCCACUCGUCGCGGAUGUUGUGCUUGAAGGCUGCUAGGGCCUUUGCAUCCGGACAGUCGACGAUUUGGUUUUUCUUUGUUAGGAACCGUGUCCAGAAUUGUCUGGCCGAUUCGUCUGGCUGCUGAAUUAUGUGGCUUAGAUCGUCGGCGUCUGGUGGUCGCACGUACGUGCCUGGAAGUUAUCGAGGAAUGCGGCUUCCAGGUCUUCCCAACUCCCGAUUGACUCUGCUGGCAAGCUGUUAAGCCAAUGUCGGGCUGGUCCUUUAAAUUCGAGUGGGAGAUAUUUGAUGGCGUGAAGAUCAUCACCGCGGGCCAUGUGGAUAUGGAGGAGAUAGUCUUCGAUCCAAACCGCGGGGUCUGUUGUGCCAUCGUAGGAUUCAAUGUUCACGGGUUUAAACCCUUCAGGGAUUUGAUGAUCCAUUACUUCGUCUAUGAAGCAUAGUGGGUGUGUGGCGCCUCUGUACUGGGCGAUAUCGCGACGAAGCUCAAAAGAGCUUUGUCUAUUUUGUUCGGCCCGGCCGGACUUACUGUGUCCGGCACGACGGUUGUCGCCACGUAUCAUGGGGCGCCCACGCGAUCCAUAGAUCGAUCUUGAUUGUCUUGCCUUACCCUCCAAUAUAUCUCGCAAGUCCGGAGCGUUCCCCUGUGGCUUUGUGCUCUUCGAGCGAUGCCGGGGUACGGUUCUAGUGAAGGGCCUAGAAGCCUCUCUGUCACGACCACGGGGUGGUCGGUCAGCCGUAUUGUCUGCUAGUGAUGUAGGUUCGUAUGCCUCCUCCUCUAAUCGGGGGAGCAGCUUGCGUUUAGGGUAACUUUUGGAGGGGCGUUCGAGCUCAUGCUCUUCGGCCGCGAGGACUUCAGUCCAUCUGUCGGCUAGCAGAUCUUGAUCAACUCUAAGCUGUUGGUGCUUUUUAUUUAGGCUGUUUGCCAUGGCCAUAAGCCUGCAUUUAAAACGCUCUUGUUCGACGGGAUCCUCAGGCACGACGAAUUCGUCGUCGUCGAGGCUUGCCUCGUCUCCGGAGGGAGGCAUGUAGUCCUCUACCUCUUCUUCUGCCGCUCUCUCAUGAGGGCUGGCGUCCCCAUCCUCCCGUGCUGAAUUUUGCUAGAGUGGGUUGUCUUCGGCACUAUCUGGGGUGUUAUUAUCUCUGGUGCCGGAAUCUUCAUUCUUGCUAUGGCAGGAUUAGAGCGGCGCCGCUGACGCCGACGCUUGGGCUGUUUCUUGGAGGGGUCAUCCUCCGCUGCCCCUUCGCCAUUCCCAUCCUUUGGGAUAUCCACCAUGUAUAUAUCAUAUGAUGAGGUGGCUUUCCAGUGCCCGAUAGGCGCUGGUUCUUGGUCAUCUCCGGCAUCGUCGUCCAUACCGUCGAUGUCUUCGGAGUCGUAGUCUAGCAUGUCGGUUAGGUCAUCAACAGUGGCUACCAAGUGGGUGGUGGGUGGGUUUUGAAUUUCUUCAUCGUCCGCAUCCCAACCGUCCUGGCCGCAGUCCGGCCAGGGCUCUCCUGAUAAUGAGAGAUACUUUAGCAAACUCAGGAUGUCGCCAAAAGGUGAGUGUUGAAAGAUGUCCGAGGCAGUAAACUCCAUGAUCGGCGCCCAACCGGAUUCGAUUGGUGGGGGCGCGGGAGGUUCGUAGUCCGGCAAGGAGUCCGGCGCCUUGGAGUCACGAGCUUCAUGAGGGACAAGGUCAGUGUUCGGCUCUAUCACCAUAGAGGUUGCAGCCCCCGAGGCGGCGUCUAACCAUCCAUCCUCGAUCUGCGCAGCCGGCUCUGAAUUGAAGAUCGGAGCAGGCUCAAGUGCGGCCUCCAGGGUACUGUCCGGUCGCAGAGCUAAAUCAUGCUCGUCGUGACAGUGCGGCACGCUCGGCUGUGGCUCGAAUCCAUCGAGGAUCAAGUCCCCACGGAUGUCAGCCGUGAAGUUCAAACUUCCAAAUCUGACCUGACGGCCAGGGGCGUAACUUUCGAUCUGCUCUAGAUGGCCAAGAGAAUUGUCCCGCAGUGCAAAGCCGCCGAAUACGAAGAUCUGUCUGGGGAGGAAGGUCUCACCCUGGACUGCGUCGUUGAUGAUGAUCGGAGAAGCCAUUGAGCCUAUCGGCGACUGCACAGAGGAACUCUCAAUGAAAGCACCAAUGUCGGUGUCAAAACCGGCGGAUCUCGGGUAGGGGGUCCCGAACUGUGUGUCUAGGCGGAUGGUAACAGGAGACGAGGGACACGAUGUUUUACCAAAGUUUGGGCCCUCUUGAUGGAGGUAAAACCCUACGUCCUGCUUGAUUAAUAUUGAUGAUGUGUGCUACAAGAGUAGAUCUACCACGAGAUCAAGGAGGCUAAACCCUAGAAGCUAGCCUAUGGUAUGAUUGUUGUUCGUCCUACGGACUAAAGCCAUCUGGUUUAUAUAGAUACCGGAGAAGGCUAGGGUUACACAGUGUCAGUUACAAUGGUAGGAGAUCUACAUAUCCGUAUCGCCAAGCUUGCCUUCCACGCUAAGGAAAGUCCCAUCCGGACACGGGACGAAGUCUUCAAUCUUGUAUCUUCAUAGUCUUGGAGUCCGGGCGAUGAUGAUAGUUCGGCUAUCCGGACACCCCCUAGUCCAGGACUCCCUCAACCACCUUGGUGAAAGAAUAUAAAGUUUAAUUUUACACAAAGCUAAUAUUUGAAGUAAAUAAAGAUGAAAUUGGGUGGGGGAGGGGGUGGGUUGACGACAAACCACGACAUUCUAGAGUGUCCUUUAAUUAAUGUUAUCUCGUUAAGUAAUACUUUGCCCCUAAGAUUCGUAGGAUUCCGAAGGCGUGGAUAUGAAAAAGUAGAUACAAGUACAAUGUGAUAUCCAACUGAAUCAUAAAAUAUUUGUGAAUUUUGAACCAAAGUUUGUUUGAUUGUACUCCCUUCGUUUCAUAUCAGUUGUCAAGUGGUUUGAGUCAAUGCAAAUUUCUUAUAUAAUGCAAGCACAAUGCAAAUAACUACCAUCGCAAACAAUUAUAUGAAAAUCCACUGAAUGAAAGAGGCCCAUCAACUUAGAAAUUCCUUGCAAUAUGUACUCAUAUAAGGCCUUCCUCCUAUGCCCUUGCCCAGGCAGGGGGCUGGAGCAGCAGCGGCCCCGUCCGCCCCGCGAUCCUUGGCUUCUCAAGCCGAGUCGGUCAUGCCGUGUCCAACAUGGAUGGUUCAAAGAGGAGUUCUGGGGGACCACGCACAGGAGGGCUAGGGCUUCCUGGCCCAUGCCGCAAGAUACAGUAGACUUCUGUGUACUUCAAGACGUCAGGGGCAUCGGUGGAACAUCAUCGGAAACCACGAAAGCCGCCAGAUCGAGCCAACCUCCCUACCGUGAAGCCUUUGUCCGAGCGCCCGCCCGACGAGAGGGCAUCGCCUGUUCUCGAAGGAAAAGUGCCGCCAGCGCUUGAGGAGAACCUGGUGGUUGGUGGGGGCGAUUAUGGGGCUCCCUCCGAGGAUGCUACCCGCCUGAAGCCUUCCAUCGGGGGAGCCGAAGAUGUUGUGGCGACGAACCCGUGGGUGCAGACGCUCUUCAUAUGCAAAGCCGGUACACCAAACAAGUGUCAGACUAUGGAGUCUCUGGAGGGGCAGCAGACUCGUGUGGAAGGAGAUAUGCAUGACCAGGACAUGCUGGAGAGAACAAACACCAUGGAGGCAGUCGGCCCAGGGGCCGCUGAUGAACUGACGGGGCUCGUGGAGCCUCGUCAAGAGCAAUGAACAUCCUGAGCUGGAACUGCUGAGGAGGUGGGAACCCUCAGACAGUUUGGGAUCUCGUGAGUCUAGUACAGGCUCACUCCCCUAGUAUCGUUUUUCUUUGUGAAACUAGGUAGUCGAAAAAUGAAAUGAAGAGAUAUCGUGCUCGUUUAGGUCUUAGUGGUUUUGAUGCUUCUGAUAGCAUAGGCUUCAGUGGUGGUCUUGCUUUGUAUUGGCACGAGUCAUUGAGUCUGGAUGUAAAAACUAUUAAUGAAAGAUACAUCGAUGCGUACGUGACUGGUAUGGCAGGUGAGCCACCCUGGAGGCUUACUUGCGUCUACGGCGAACCCCGGACGGAGGACCGUCCUCGCAUGUGGUCUUCCCUUCGGGAACUUCAUCAACAAACCAACAUGUCGUGGACGAUGAUUGGUGAUUUUAACGAAGCCAUGUGGAGUUUUGAGCACUUCUCCGAAACACCACGGUCGGCAGGUCAGAUGAUUGCUUUCAUGAUGUUCUUGAAGUUUGCGGCUUGGGCGACCUUGGUUUUGCAGGCCUUCCAUAUACAUAUGAUAAUCGCCGAGGAGGGCGGGCGAACGUCAAGGUCCGCAUCGACAGGGAUGUGGCAAACAAUUCCUGGAGGGAUAUUUUCUCUCACGCCAAGGUGGAGCACCUUGUGGCGCCCAGCUCGGACCAUCUUCCCAUUUUGCUGCAGUGUGUGAUGGAGGAGCCCGUGCACACAGUCGGGAGAAAAUGUCGCCAAUAUGAGGUUAUGUGGGAGAUGGAUCAUACUCUCCCUGAGGUAAUUAUGAAUGCAUGGACUGAGUUGGGUUCAAUGCUUAAUCUCGGUGAUAUAGCUACUGGUUUGGGUAAUAUGAUGAAUAAGUUGCAGCAGUGGAGUCGUAAGAAGUUUGGUAAUGUAAUCAAGGAAAUUAAUAAAUCUCGCUCUCGUUUAGAGGAACUUAUGUCUAUGAAUGCAGACAGGAAGGAGAUUAGAGCGGCAAUAGACCGGAUGAACGAGCUCCUGUACAGGGAAGAAAUGCUUUGGAUGCAAAGAUCGUGUAUUGCUUGGCUGCGGGAAGGUGACCGGAAUACCCAGUUCUUUCAUCGAAAAGCGGUAUGGCGUGCACGGAAAAAUCGUAUAGAACUUCUUGUCGAUGAGGCAGGAGUGACCCACAAGGACCAUGCUUCUAUGGCGGCUAUGGCUACUGCAUAUUUUUCGAGUUUAUUUGCUGCUGAUACUACCCUGGCUCCAGAACCUGUUAUCGAUCUCAUUAAUACCCGUGUUACUGACCGCAUGAAUGAUGGCCUAUGCGCAGAUUUUUCAGACAAGGAGAUAGCCGAUGCACUGUUCCAGAUUGGGCCUCUGAAAGCCCAGGGACCGGAUGGAUUCCCCGCUUGUUUCUUCCAGCGGAAUUGGGCGGUCAUGAGGGAACAAGUUAUUGCUGGGGUAAAGGAAUUUUUUCGCACAGGUAUCAUGCCCGCGGGAGUGAACAACACAUCCAUUGUUCUUAUACCAAAGGUGGAUAACCCGGAGAGGUUAACAGAGUUCCGCCCCAUCAGCCUGUGCAACGUUAUUUAUAAGGUGGUGGCAAAAUGUCUGGUAAACCGGUUGAGGCCUAUUUUAGAUGACAUUAUUUCACCGGAGCAGAGCGCCUUUGUUCCUGGAUGGAUGAUUACUGAUAAUGCUUUAAUUUCUUUUGAGUGCAUUCACUUUAUUCAGCAGGAGAAAGACCCUGACAAGAGUUUCUGUGCGUAUAAGCUGGAUCUGUCUAAGGCAUAUGAUAGGGUGGAUUGGAUCUUCUUGGAGCGAAUGAUGCAAAAGAUGGGCUUCGCUUGCCAAUGGGUGGACUGGAUUAUGGCUUGCGUCACCUCGGUGAGAUACACAGUAAAAUUUAAUGGAACCCUCUUGGAUUCGUUCGCACCGUCACGUGGGCUUCGACAAGGUGAUCCCCUAUCCCCGUUUAUGUUUCUGUUGGUGGCUGGCGGGCUUUCUGCUUUGUUGAAAGAUGGAGAGGAGAAAGGUGCUUACACACCGCUGGAAAUCUGCCGAAGAGCUCCGGGUGUGUCACACUUGCUUUUUGCGGAUGAUACUUUGUUGUUCUUUAAAGCAGAGGAGGAACAAGCAAAAAAGGUUCAGGAAGUACUUAAUAUGUAUGAACGGGUUACUGGACAGUGUAGUAACCCAGAUAAGUGCAGUGCUCUCUUUGGUCCAUCAUGUGCCGUGGACAUACAGGAUAGUAUACGGGUUGUCCUUCACAUUGGUGUGAGCACCUUUGAGGAAAAAUACCUAGGACUUUCGACGCCAGAGGGUCGUAUAUCACGAGGUAAACUUCAGAAUUUGCAGUCACGGCUGAUGAAGAGGACCAUUGCUUGGGGUGACACUCUUUCUCUUGCUGCCAAGGAGAUUAUGAUUAAAGCAGUCGCACGGGCUAUCCCAACUUAUAUUAUGGGUGUUUUUAAACUGCCUAUGUCAGUGUGUGAUGAUCUGAACAGAACGGUGCGAAAUUUUUGGUGGGGAUCUUCAGAGGGCAAGAGGAAAACUCACUGGUUGGCAUGGCCAAAAAUUCUGGCGCACAAAUCCCAGGGCGGAUUGGGUUUCAAGACUUCCGGGUGUUCAACCAAGCUCUUCUCACGAGACAGGCAUGGUGCUUGCUAGCUAAGCCUGAUAGUUUAUGUGCGCAGGUGUUAAAGGCUCGGUAUUAUCCUGAUGGACGCCUUGAGGAUACAGUAUUUGCCGGAAAUGCUUCGCCUACUUGGCAGGCCAUCCAGCAUGGCCUCGAGCUCCUGAAGAAGGGCAUCAUCUGGCGUGUCGGGAAUGGACAGAGCAUCCGCAUCUGGCGGGACCGCUGGGUACCCCGGGAGCCUUCACGCCAUCCCAUUACACAGCAAGGCACCUGUCGGCUGAGAUGAGUGGCGGAUCUUCUGGAUGAUGCCGGCGCUUGGCAGAUGGACUUGCUACGCCGACACUUCCUCCCGGCGGACAUUGACGCGGUCACCAGUAUCCGCACCUCGCCCCACAUCACCGACGACAUUAUCGCAUGGGCGCCGGAGAAGAACGGUAUAUUCAUCGUUUGAUCCGCCUAUCACUUCGCCAUGGACGAGCGGGAACGUCCACUGGCUACCUCCACGAGCAGGGCACCAGAUGGUCGUCGCGCCAUCUGGAAGAUCAUAUGGGGGUGCCCUGCCCCCCCUAAGGUACGCGUGUUUGCAUGGAGAGUAGUGACCAACUCGUUGGCUACCUGGGCCAACAAAUUUUCUCGUCAUCUUGAGCUUACUGACAUAUGUCCUCUUUGUGGUGUGGAACGAGAGGACGGCUUCCAUGCAUUAUGCAGAUGCCCACUUGCUAGAGAGCUGUGGCGGAAUAUGGAGACGGACUGGCCAAUCCCAAAGCUCGAGGGAAUUUGCAAUAACGACCCAGAGUGGCUGUUUUCCCUCCUGGAACCACUAGACGGAACGGCACGCCUGGUCACCCUCAUGAUUAUGUGGCGAACCUGGUACGUGCGCAAUGAGAUUACUCAUGGAAAGAAGCCACCCCCAACAGAAGCAUCCCGCCGCUUCCCCAACGGGCACAUUAAUUCGCUUCUAUGCAUUCAUCACUACCCAAAUGGAGACGUGGAGAAAGGAAAGAUGAUCCUGCAUGUUACCCCACCGGCCACAACUUUAUGUACUGAGCAGAAGCAGGAGCUACGUUGGGCGCCGCCCGGCCCGAGCUGGACGAAGUUAAACACUGAUGGCAGUUAUGUCCCAGCUACAGGCGUUGCAGGAGGGGGCAUGGUCCUCCGCGAUGACAGAGGAGAGAUCAUCUUCAGUGCGUGUAGGGAGAUACGCACAUGUGAUAACAGCCUGCAUGCGGAACUUGCAGCAUGCAGAGAGGGCUUGGAAUUGGCUUUGCAUCGGACCAACCUACCCAUCGUGGUGGAGCUGGAUAGUGUGGAAGCGGUCACGAGGCUUACAACACAUGUGAUGGACCGCUCACAGCACCGUGUUCUAGUUGACGAGAUUCGGAGGAUAGUUACAUAAGAGGAUAGAGAGAUUUUUUUUACUCACUGUAGACGAUCUCGGAAUAAAGUUAGUCAUGAGUUGGCCGCGUACGGCCGUAGUACCCCCCGCACUGCUGUGUGGUUGCGAUCAGGGUUGGAAUUUGUUGUAAACCUAUCCAAGGCUGAUAAGCCUCCUUGAGUAAUGAAAAUCUCCUUUCACCCUGCAAAAAAAUGUACUCAUAUAAGGCUAGCUUUUUUUCCUGUUAAAAAAGAUAAAUAAUGGAGAAAUAUUUGGGAAGAUAACACUUGGCACUCGGUUGGUGGAACACGUCACAAUAUUAUUUCGAAUUGAUCUGUAACCAGAAUCUCAAUGCAAAAUACCCCAAGCAUACAACCGAGACCACGCAUGCACCCCAUCGCAUGGCCUCCACACGCCUUGUCGAUAUCCAUGGUGGCAUCUGCGCCGGCCGGGUGUCACGGAUCCCCCUUCACUCCCUCAGCGUGUGAACGUGGACGCUCCAACCCAACCGUGCCCCGUGUUCAGGAUAAGCUGGCCGGCUCGUCCGCCCUUCUUAUUGCCGCUGCUUCUCAUCUCACACGCUCCAACACUAUCCUCUCCUCCACCGAGUAUCCGCCUACGGAGUAGUACCUCGCAAGCUAGCUCGCAGCUCCGCCGCAAUGGCCACCGUAUUGAGCAGCCUCCGCUUGCCCUUCUCCGUCUGCCCCGCCGCCCCUUCGGCGCCCAUGGCGGCAUCCCGCGUCGCGCUCCCGCUGUCGUCGACGGCCGCCAGGGGCAUGAGGCUCCGCGCGCAGGCGACGUACAAGGUGAAACUGAUCACGCCGGAGGGCGAGGUGGACCUCGAGGUCCCCGACGACGUCUACAUCCUCGACCACGCCGAGGAGGAAGGGAUCGACCUGCCCUACUCCUGCCGCGCCGGCUCCUGCUCCUCCUGCGCCGGGAAGGUGGUCUCCGGCCAGCUGGACCAGUCCGACCAGAGCUUCCUCGACGACGACCAGAUCGAGGCGGGGUGGGUGCUCACCUGCGCCGCGUACCCCACCUCGGACCUCGUCAUCGAGACCCACAAGGAGGAGGAGCUCACCGCUUGAAUUCACUGAUUUGUUUAGUUCGACCCGUUUCCACCGUGCGCGUGUACCAUGCACGACAUUCGAACUGUAUCAGGAUAUUGAGGAGUUGCAAAGUACAGUACGUAAUUAGUACUUGCUGUUGUGGUCGGAUUUUGAUUGCUUUUGCUUAUUAAUGCCUAGUGUUAAUUUUCUCAAGUCAAUCAAGUAAUAAAAGGAGAUGAGAUUGUACUCCAUGUCUCCGUUACGCGUGCCUCGCGAUUCACUUAUGAUUUAGAUCCUUUUUAGUUUGCAUAUAAGUU
rnacentral:lncRNA from 1 species